rnacentral:lncRNA from 1 species
GAAGACUACAUUUGCAACCUCACUAAAACAACCCUAGACUUUUCCAAGCCAUUAUGGGACCUUCAUCUCCUCAACGUCAAAACCUCCGACGCCGAGGCCGUCGCCGUUUUCAGGAUUCACCACUCCCUCGGCGAUGGCACGUCUCUCAUGUCUCUUUUACUUGCAUGCACACGCAAAGCCUCGGAUCCCACGGCUCUGCCUUCGGUUCCCAUGAUGAAGAAACCAAAAUCAUCGGCUGGGUCUGGAAAGUGGUGGAAGGCUUUCAGACUGGUUUGGAAUACGAUCAUCGAUGUUUUGAUGGUGAUCGCCACAGUGUUGUUCUUGAAGGACAGAGACACGCCUCUUAGGGGUCCGCCCAAUGUUGGAUCCACAGGACGGAGAAUUAUUCACAGGACGAUUAGUCUGGAGGAUGUUGUGAUGAUAAAAAAUGCAAUGAGCACUGUAAGUCAACUUGUUGCAUGCAUGGAAAACAAAUACAUGUUUUGCAACUGUUUUAAAAAAAACAAUUUCCUGUUUUUCAAAUAAAAUAAAUAGAAAAACACUUUAGAUAAAAAAAAAUUAGAAAAUAAGGUAUUUUCAAGGAACAACUUUCAAUUAUUUUUAUUUAUAUUUUCAUUUGUUUUUGUGAUAAUUGUUUUUUAAAAUAAUUAUAUAAAUAUAAAUAAUAAUUAAAAAUUAAAAGCACAAGUUAUUUUCAAAAAUAUAUUUAAAAAUAUAGAAAUCAAGUUAAAAAUAUUCUAGAGUCAUUCCUGAAUAAAAAUUAUUUUCCAUAAAUGUUUAUAAAAAACACUUAACAAACAAAGCUAUGAUUUUUUCUUUUUUCGACUAUGUCCCAUAAUUUUUUUAUUUUUUUAAAGCAGAGAAAUACAAAGCUUUUUUACUUUUCGAUCACUUCAAUGAAAGAGUGGGUAAUCAUAUAUUUGAAGAAGUUUACAACUCCUCUCUCAAUCAUUAGUGGAGAGAUUAAGAACUAAAAUUUUUGUGGCUCUCAUGUGCAGACUGUUAAUGAUGUUAUGGUGGGAAUCACACAGGCUGGUUUGUCUCGGUACCUCAAUAGGCGAUAUGGUGAGCUCCUAUUUUAAUUUUCAAAAUUCAUAUAUUAAGUGGUACGGUGAAGAGUAAUUAUAAUACACCACCUAGCUACUCUCUCUAUGUAUAAAAGGAUGUUAUAAAGCUUGUAUGCUCUACAUGGUAGCUGAAGGCAAGAAGAAUAAAGGGGCAACAGAGAAGAAAAAUAAUCUUCCCAAGAACCUUUCUAUCAGAGCAACUCACUUCAUUAACAUAAGACCAUCUGCAGGGAUCCAUGUGGGUGUUUCUACUUUCUUUAUCAAGCCCUCGUGAAGGAAUUAGUUAAUUUCUCUUUGGGAAGUGUUUUCAAAAAAUGAAACAAAAGUUUUUGAAAACUGUUAUUUGAUAUUUUAUGGAAUAAAAGUUUGUUUAAAAAUCUAAAAUUAAUGUUAUUUAUGUUUUCUAUGUUUUAAAAUAGGUUUUAUUAUUAAUUGAUCUCCAUAUUUUUAUAAUUAUUUAUUAAAUGGUUCUUAAAAAAUAAUCAAAAAAUAUUUUCUGAAAACACAUCAUUUUUAAAUAAUUAUUUUAUUUAAAUUUGUUUUCAAAAUUUAAAAAUUAUAUUAAAAUCAAUUAUCAAACAAGUCCUUAAUUUCUUGUCUCAUGCAUGUAUACAUUGAUAUCGUACAGACCUUAGCUGAAAUGAUGGAGAAAGGCUCUGAAGCAAAAUGGGGCAACUGGAUUGGCUAUGUCCUUCUCCCUUUAUCCAUUGCAUUACGAGACAAUCCUUUAGAUUACAUUCAAAAAGCUAAGGAAGCUAUGGAUAGAAAAAAAGCCUCUCUUGAAGCUCUCUAUAUACAUUCCAUGGCUAAGUCAAUUCCCAACUUAUUUGGCACUAAGGUAUGAAUUAAUAUCACUCAACCCUAGCUUGUUUCCUCAAAAUUAAGUACUUCUAGCUUAAUUAAUAUCACUGUCUAAUAAACAAUUAAAAGUGGUAAAUAUAGGCUCACUUCUUUCAUUGGUAAACAGACUGGAAGUGUUCUAUGCCUCAAAGUCCCCUCUCGUACGACAAUAUGGUUCUCAAAUGUAGUUGGACCCCAAGAAGAAAUUGCCUUCUUUGGCCAUCCAAUAGCCUACAUUGCUCCAAGUUGUUUUGGUCAACCCAAUGUAAGUCUUCUUAAACUUUGUUUGACAAUGUUUUAAAAAAUGCUUUAGCCUAUAAAAUGUUUUACAAAAAAAAAAUUAAAAUUUAGAAAUCACUUUCAAAAAGUUAAAAAGCCACUUAUAGAUAUUUUCAAAGAAACAUUUGAUAGAUAAUUCUCUUAAUACUUUUAAGUAAAACACUCUCGAGAAAAACACUUCAAAUUACAUUCUUAGAAUGCGUUUGAUAAUAUUUUUAUUCAAAAUGUUUUUAAUGAAAGCAUAUUCUCUGAAAAUGUUUUACGAUAAAUGUCUAUCAAAUAAUUCUCCAAAAAACAGGAUAAUUGAUUUUUCAAUACUAUAAAUAAUUUUUCAUAUUUGUAAAAGCGUUUCCCAUAUUUUAUCAAAUACUUAAAGAUAAAAAUGUUUGUUAAAAUCAUUAUCUAACUCUUAUUCAUGAAACAUAAACUUUUCUCUUUCUUAUGAAUUAUUAGCCAUUUUUAGUACUGUAAAAAUGGUGGUUGAUUCAAUCUGAAUUCGAGUCUCUUGAAUAUCUAUUGCAGGCAUUGAUGAUUCAUGUGGUGAGCUAUGUGGAUAAAAUGAAUAUCAUUCUAUCAGUUGAUGAAAGUACAGUCCCUGAUCCUCACCAGCUGUUUGAUGACCUUGAAGAGUCUUUCAACCUCAUCAAGAAUGUUGUGAUGGCUAGAGACUAAACUCCACAGAAUGUCAUGUAGCAAGGGCUAGGGUCAAUGUAAUUAAUAUAUAUAAUGUUCUGAAAUCAUUGUCUUAAGGUUCCUGCAAUAAUGAUGUUGUAUUAGAUGGCUCUCUACUAAAUAAAAAUGCCUCUCUACUGUAUUUUUAUCUUAAUUCAAGUUCAUAUUUUUUGGACUUUAUUUCAUUUUUAUUUACUGUAUUUUGAUGACUAAUUAUGGGUUCUUUCUAAUUUUAUCUUUUAAUUUUUUAUUCUCUUUUUUUUUUUUUUUUGAUUCCUCAGAUCUUUUGCAGUAUCCAUUUUUAAUUUUAAGGCUUAAAUUUCUACUUCAUUUCAUUAAUUUCUUCCAUAAUUUUUAAUUUUUAUUAUUAUUAAAUAAUUGUAAUAGCGUUAAUAUGAAGUUUUGGGCUGGCUUACAGAAGAACCCAUCUCCUAGUUUAUAUUGAUCCCUAGCAUUUUAUUAAUGGAUAUAACUAUCAAAAUGCUUUCAAAACACAUUUUCCAUUUAAAUGAAAAUAUUAAUUAAUUUUCUAUAGAAAUAUCUUCAAUAGAGUGUUAGUGACAAAAUGGUAAAAAAAGAAAAAGAAUGUUUUAACAACAAUCACCUUGAAAUCCUUCAUGUGCUACAAAACAAAUUGAUUGGUUUAUUCAUCAUGAAAUUUCAUGUUAAUUAGGCUUUAGCUGAGAUGAUGGAGAAGGAGUCUAAAGUGAAAGGGGGAAAUUGGACUGGAUCUAUGUUCCUCCCUUUUGCCAUUGUCUUAUACGAUGACCCUUUAAAUUAUGUUAGUCAAACUAAAGUCACAAUCGAUCGAAAGAAGCAUUACCAUGAAGCUAUAUUUACAUUUUUCAUUAUUAAGAUGGUUCUCAAAUUAUUUGGUGCUAAGGUAUGAAUUUCCUUAUCCUUAAUAUUGAAAUAGAUCACCUAGGAAAUUAUAGAUUUUCAAACUCCUGUUCUUAAAUAAUAAUAAUAAUAAUAAAAUCUAUUGUCUAUUUUUUGUUUCUUUCCUUUCUAUUUUCUUCUUAUGAUCUUACCUAGGAUUUUUAUUAUUAUUAUUAUUAUUUUGCAUGGCAAAUAAGUUGCAGCAUUUUUAUACCAUAGAGUUAUAAAUCAUACAAGAAUGUGCUUCUCAAAUGUAGUUGGACCUAUGGAAUAAAUCGGUUUUUAUGGCCAUCCAAUGGCUUUCCUUGCUCCAAGCGUUUACGGCUAACCUCAUGUAUAUAUAUAUAUAUAUAUAGUUAUUUGAUUAAAUGGAUUAUUGAAAACCCAAAUUUGGAAAAAUGACCUUCAUGGUUUGAAAGUAUGAACUAUGAUCCAAAAAUUAUAUUUGUAUUCAUCAAAUUUUUCUUUACAUUUAUUAUAUUUACACAUUCACUUUAAAAUACUAACUAUAUUAACACAUCACCUACAAAUUUCCAAUAUCAUAAAAACACUCUUCACAUUCUUCUCUUCUAUACCUAUCCUUUUUUUUUUUUCUCUAUUAACUUUUUUCUUCUCAAUAAUAAAUCCUAAAAGAAACUAUCUUUUAGGGCUUAUUCUUCAUGUAAAUUUUGACUAAAAAAAUAUGUUGUAAAAACAAUUAGAAAGAAUUUAUAAAAAAUUAGAAAUGAGAAAUCAUGAAAAAGUGCAAAAGAAAUUAUAUUUGGACUGAUUUUUUACUCUGUGUUUUGUGGUAGGGAUUCAUGAUUGAUUUCCAAAGUUACAUCAAUAAAAUGACAUUUGUUCUUUCUGUUGAUGAAGAAAUAAUUUCCGACCCUCACCGAUUAUGUGAUGAUCUUGAAAAGUCAUUUAAGUUUAUCAAAGAUGUUGUCAUUGCAAGAGGGUUUGUCCAUAAAAUUUCCAUAAAAUAAGAAUGAUUAGUACAUGUUACAUCUAUGUGAACUAUGAAGAUCUGUGUGUUCUUAUGGUCAUUUGCAGUUUUAAUCGUAUGUGUUUUAAGUGAAAUGUUUUAUUUUCGAAUAAAUUUUGAACUUUCUAAUGUUAUAUGUAUGUCACAUGCAUGUAUGCUUUGAAAUUUUUAUAUGAGAAUAAGACAUGUGGGUCAUGCCUUGUUCUGGGAAUGGGCCUAACUUGGGCCAGGCUUGGGCUUGAGCCUAACUGGGUCUUAAGUUGGGUUAAUUAGAACGAUGAAGUCAAAGAAUUGCAAAAUUUUGGGUUCCAUGAUAUCUCAAAAUUUCAAGAUAGUUUUUUCCUGAUUCUUACAAAAUUGGGUACAUAUCUACAUAGGUUGUUAGAGAUACUGUGAGGGAUUUGCACCACCUCAAACAAUAUUCUAACUAAAAAUGUCUCGUUCGGAUACACUUUUUCAUUUUUCUUUUUUAGAAACAAAAAGUUUUAAUAAUUUCUAUAUGAAAAUAGAAGUUCUUAUAUUAAAAAAAAGGUACAUGUUUACCCUGUGUCCUUAUAAUUUAUUUUAAAUAUUUUAAAAUUUUAGAUGAUAAUUUUUUUAAAAAAAAAAUUUAGUUUUUAAAAGUCAUUGUUUUUUGGUGUAAUUCUCUAAGAUUUUUUAUAUUUAAAAGAAAUAAUAAAUGAUAAAAAUUGUGGUAUAUAUAUAUAGAGAGAGAGAAAAAAUAUAUAUUAUGCUCAACAACCCAUUUAAAAUAAUGAUUUAUAUACUCAAAAACAGUUUAAUAUGAUGAUUUAUUUAGCUAAAUAUAUUUAAGAAUAUAAAAAAAUCAUGAUACAGAUAUGACUACUUUUUAAUUAUUUAAAAAUAUUUAAAAUUUUAUUUACAAGUUUAUACUUUUCUUAUAUUUAAUAUUAAAAUGUUAAUUUAAUUACAAAAAUGAUUAUGUAGUUUGAUAAAUUUAAAAAAAUUAUUAGUUUUAAUAUUUUAGAUUAUAAUAAAUCGAUUUUAUGUGCUUUUAUAAAUAUCAAUGAAGUUUAGCUUGGUGGUGAAGUGGCAUGAUAAAAGUUGUUUUCCUUUAUUUUUCAAAUUAUAAAGAAUAAAAUAAUAUAUAUAUAUAUAAGAUAAAUUUCACCAUACAUUAAAAUUUGAAAUUUCAUUAAAUCUAAACUUUUUCUUUAAUAAUUUUUUAAAACUUUCAUAUUUACCCUUCAUUUUCUUUCUCUUGUAUUUAUUGCGGACCAAACUUGUCAUAAAAUAAGUCAAAUUCGUUUUUGAUCUCUCUAUUCUCUAGCAAUCUCAAAUGGACCCAAGAUUGAGGCCACUCUAUCAAGACUUAAAAAUCAACACAAGGAUCAACAAAAUGUGUGGACAUUAACAUCGGAAUCAUAAAUAAUCAACUACGUACCUUUUUUAUAUUAAAUAUUAAAUGUCAUAUUAGAACAUUCUUCAAAAUUGAAAAUAAUAAAAGUAGAAAUUCAACAUCAUACCUCUGACUAUGGCCAUCAAAUUCACAAUUUUUGGGAGUAAAUAAAAAACAUAAUAAAAUUAGGGAUUUGUUUGGCUAGUUUUUCUAAGACCUUAUAUCUUAUGAAAACUCACAAACUUCCUAUAAACUAGAGACUCUUAUCUAUAUAAAGUUUUAAUAUAAAAUAUGAUAUUUUCUUAUAUUUUCUUUCCAUCAAAGGAGACAAAAUAAAUACCAAGUAGUAGUUACCACUAAAAGUGUGUCAUGACUAUAAAAGAUGGUUACAACACUAAGAGAUGUGUUUGUAUUCAAUGUGUCACAUGUUUUAGGGAAAAUAAUGUAUUUAAAUUUAAAUUUAAAUAGAACACAAAACUUAAAACAUUUAUCUUAUUUUAUUUAAAAUAAAAAAUAUUUCCAACAUGUCACACACAUGAGAUCCAUGCUGCCAUAAAUUCAUUUCCAAACUAGUUAUGAACCAUAAAUGACAAGCCCUAACUUCACCUCCACUUGCUAUAACAAGCCCUAACAUGACUUCUACUGCUAAACAUUGAAAAAGGAUGUUGAUGUUGCGUCUAAAGGCAUCUUGCUUUAUUAAAUAUUUAAUUUAUGUACUAUCAUUCUCAUUGACAUUAAAAUUAAUUAUUUCUAAAAAAAAAAAAUCAAAAGAAAAUUUCCCAAACCAUAGAAAAGUAUUUAGCAUUAAACUCGAUAGAGUUACACCACAUAUUUGUAGCUUAGGAUCACAGGGUUCUCAGAAAAACACUUCAAAGUACAUUCUUAGAGUGUAUUUGAUAAUAUUUUUAUUCAAAAUAUUUUUAAUGAAAGUAUAUUCUUUAAAAAUGUUUUAAGAUAAUUGUCUAUCAAAUAUUUCUUCAAAAAACAAUACAAGUGAUUUUUUAACACUAUAAAUAAUUUUUCACAUUUGUAAAAGCGUUUCUCAAAUUUUAUCAAAUACUUAAUAUAAAAUUAAAUGCUUCUUAAAAUCAUUUUCUCACUCUUAUUCAUGACACAAACUAAAAAUAUCAUUGUGGUUUUGUGCAUUGCAGACUAUCAACGAUGUGGUUAUGGGGGCGUCAUUGGCUGGUCUUUCUCAAUAUCUCAACAGAAAGAUAUGGUGAGCUUGCAACUUUAUACCUAAACAACUAGAAUACUUCAUCUAAUGUAAGGUGAGAUUCUUAACAUAUCUCCUUAAUGGCAGGUGAGGCUAAGGGAGAGGCAGUAGCUACACAGAAGAAAAAUAAUCUUCCUGAGAACAUUCGCCUCAGGGCCCUCGAUCUCGUUAAUAUAAGACCUUCCCCAGGGAUUCAUGUGAGCCAUUUUCCUGUUGAAUUCAAAAGAUUUAUAUGAAAAUAUGGUCGUUAAGAUAGUAAAAAUGAUGGUGCAACUAACAUUUUUUGUAUGCAUCAAAUCUGAAUUUUCAAAUUUAUAAAUGAACUUGAGUAAAUUAAUUAUCCAUGUACUGUAAAUUUGAUUGAUUAUAUCGUAUCAUAUCAUCAAAAUGCUAGGCUUUAGCUGAUAUGAUGGAGAAGGGGACCAAAGCAAAAUGGGGUAACUGCAUUGGAUCUGUGCUUUUCCCCUUCACUAUUGUGUUACAAGAUGACCUGUUAGACUAUGUUUGCCAAGCUAAGGCUACCACUGACAGAAAGAAGCAGUCUCAAGAAGUUGCAUACACAUUUCUCAUUGUUAAGUUAGUCCUCAAGUUAUUUGGAAUUAAGGUGCGUAUGAACUUCUUUGCAAUUUUUUGGAACCAAAUACACAAAAAAUUGGACACAUAUAUAUAUGCUAGCAAUUCCCCCUUGGUUGUUUAAUUUCAGUGUUUCUAGUCUAAAUUAAUCAUUCUACUUCAGAAAUCAUUUGGUAAAACAGGCUGCAGCAUUUCUACUCCACAGAGUUCCAAAUCACACCACAUUGUGCUUCUCAAACAUAGUUGGACCUAUAGAAGAAAUCGGUUUUUAUGGUCAGGCUUUCAUUGCUCCAAGUUGCUGUGGGCAAGCAACCCCAUGUAAGUAUAUAUACACAUCUCAUUAAGCCAAAAUAUGCCUUUUGUUUAAUUUCAUUUGGCUAUGAAAACAUUAUAAUUUAUAACAUAGAGUUGAGUUUGGUUAGUCUUAAUAAGCAUAAUAAUUGUGUUUUGGUGUCGGGAUUGAUCGUUCACUUUCUAAGUUACACAAAUAAAAUGACAUUUAUUCUAUCGGUUGAUGAAGCGAUCAUUCCUGACCCUCACCAGCUAUGUGAUGAUAUUGAAGAAACACUCAAGCUCAUGAAGGAUGUUGUUAUAGCAAGAGGGAUUGUUAAGGAAAAUCUCAUUAAAUAAAGAGUGAUUACACACAAAAAAGACUGAUCACCAUAUUACAUUAUGCUUGAAUUAUGUUAAUUGGGAAAAUGUUGUGUACUCAUCUUUGCUUUCAUGUAUACUAAUAAUGUUGAUUGCUACCAAAUAGGGACUAUAAACCUUUGGUUAGUGUAUCUUAUAAAUUUGUUUCUCAAUUGGAUAAGUUGGAAUUUGGAUUAAAUUCGUUAUCGAGCAUCAUCCUAAUUAGCUAGGUUGAUUAGGAUGUGCUUGCAUUUUGUGGUUUUUUGUGGUUGGUUGAUGAUAAUUUGCAUUGUUUUAAAAACAUGACGAGUUGGACCGCCAGCCGGAGGGCUUUCCUAUCCAGUUCCCCUUUUUGGACCAUCUAUCAAUUGGAUUGGUCUUGAACCGAUUAAACCAGCGGUUGGAUCAAUGACCCGGAUGGUUCUUUAAGAACCGAAUGGGUCAAACCCCACCACCUCUUUUUCUUUUUGCCAAGCCCACAUUUCCUUUGGCCUAGUGUCCACUCCUAUGAUGAGUUUUCUUGGCAAAAUGGCCUAUUAAAUUAGGCAAUGAGCUCUAUAGCCUGACCCAACAAUCUACUAAUUUGCAAGGAAUGGAAAGAGGUUUAUAAAUCUAUUUAUGUUUCAUCUACUUUCAAUAUGGAAUCAAGAAAUUUAAGGAAAAACUCAACUCUUUUUAUUGCAACCAGGAGAGCUUGAACCAUAGACCUUGACGUUUCCUAAUACAAUAUUAUUCACUCUACUACAACCAUCCUUAUGUUGAAAUUUAACAAGGAACAAAUAUAUAGGUUAUUUUUAAAAAAUGAUAUAUAUAUAUAAUUACAUAAUACAUUUUUUUUUUCAUUUUCAAUAUGUUUAAUAUCUAAAUAUGAUUUUUACCAUUUUCUUUUCAUAUUGAAAUAUUGUAUAUAUUUUGUUUAAUAAAUUAAAAAUGUUAAUACAUUUAUAUAAAAAUGAAUAAAUAAUAUUACAAAUAUUAUUAAUUUUUAAUUAUAUGUAGUUAAAAUUAUUUUUAAUUUUAAUAAAAUAUAAAUUAUAUAUUUAUGACGUCACCGAUUCGACCGUGGUUCAACCACCGAUCCGACCAGUGAACCGUGAACCAAUAACUUUUCCGGUUCAAUGUUUUGUCCGGUUCUGAAAACAUUUAUAAUUUGUCUCGACUAGCGAUAGGCUGGACUUUUUAUUCAAAUCAACAUUACAUGACUUAACUUUACAUCGACCUCGGAUUAGGAUUGUUUCCUAUAAUCAUCAAUAAAGGAGUAAAACGUUGAAGAAAUAUCAAAGAGUUGAAAAUAUAGUUGAUAAAAUUACCCAUACUAAUUUUGCAUAUGAAUACUAUUCAUUUUUUAAAAGAAAUAUUUAAUGAUAAAAAUUUUCAAAAAAUUAAAAGAAAAAUAUAAUUUUCAAAUAUUGAAAAUCUUUAAAAAAAAAUAUUGUAAUGGUGAUGUGAAUUGAAAUAUAAGGAAAGUUGAAAUUUGAAAUACAGGUUAUACAUGUGACUGAUUGGAAGAAAAGAAAAACUUAAGAGUACGUUAGAUAACUAUUUUCAAGAACAAUUUUUGAUUUUUUAGAAGAAAAAUUAAGGAAACAUGCUUAUUAAUCAGAAACUGUUUUUAUUUUUAAAAAUCAUUUUUUAGUUGUUUCCUAUUAUUUUUACUUUUUUGUCAAGACCGUUUUAAAAAAUAAUUAUGUAAGCAUAUAGAAUGAUUAAAAAUAAAGUAGUAGAUAUAAAAUUAUUUUUAAAAAAUAUUUAAAAAUAGGUUAAAAACAUUUUAAGUUUUCAAAUUGACUUUUAUUUAAUUUAUAAAACAGUAGAGAACAAUUUUUAAAAACUGUUCUUAAAAAAAAAAAUUCAAAACUGUUUUCGAAAACAGUUACCAAACAAAACCUAAAAUUUUGAGUUAGAAUUUUUAUUUUUUUUUUAUACUUGAAUAAAUACUUUCCCCAAAUCAUUUACAAUUUUUGAACUCAAAUUUAAGUCUUAAGAUAGAUAGGAAGAUAUAUUAAAACUAAUGAUUUUUUCAUUACAUGUGGAGAGUAUGUCUAGGUUGAAUAUUAUUCAUCAGCUCAUGAAAUUUCAAUUUUAAAUUAAACUCUCGUCAUUAUUAUGGUUUGGAAAAAUAUUUGAGGUGGUUUCUACCAUCUUAAAGCGUCAAUAAGACGAAAUUUUGAGUAUGUUAUUUAAGCUUCUUCUAAAAUUAGAAAAUCGAGGAGAGAAGGAAGGUGGAAAAUAAAACAGAGAAAAAAAAUACAAAAAUGAAAAAAAGAUUUGAACUUGAUAUGUAUACAUAUAUUUUCUAUAUAGCUUUUUAAAUAAUCUCCUAAUAUAAAAAUUGAAAAUACACAUGAAUUUUUGAAUUAUUUUUUAUAUUUUUUAUUAUUGUUGUAGUAUGUGGCUCAUAUUUAUUGAAAAAAACAUAUGAAGAAAAAUGGGCAAAUGUCAGAGCGAAGCGGAGUGAAAGUCUUCUUCCCUGUUCCCGUGGACGUAGGCAAUUUGUCGAACCACGUUAAAUCUGUGUCUUUCUUCAUUUUCAUUUUCUUUAAUUUUCACCAUAAAUCAUUGCACGUAAAUCAACAAUUGGUAUCAGAGUGUGAGGUUCGAUGUCUGAGAUUUCUUAUGUGAAGUUCGAUGGAUAUGGGAAUUUCGGUCUAUGGCAGAGAAGGGUUAAGGAUCUGUUAGUGCAACAAGGUAUGGUGAAGGCGUUAUACAAAAAGCAACCAAAAAGAAUGAACAACAUGGAUUGGAAGGAUUUGGAAGUGAAGGUUGCGGCAAUUAUCAGGCUUUGUUUGGCUGAUGACAUGAUGUACCAUGUCAUGGAUGAGGAAUCACUAGCAGCAAUUUGGUUGAAAUUGGAAAGUCGGUAUAUGUCUAAGUUGUUGACGAAAAAAGUUGUAUCUUAAGCAGAAACUAUAUGAUCUUAAGAUGGCAGAAGGCUCAUAUCUAAGCCCGACAUAUCAACGUGUUCAAUCAGAUCAUCAGUGAUUUGAAGCGAAUUGAUAUGAAGUUCGAAGACGAAGACAAGGCGUUGAUGUUACUAAAUUAUCUUCCCGCUUCUUCUAUGUAUGAAAAUCUGGUUACAACUCUGAUGUGGAGGAAAGAAACUCUUGAUUUGGAGGAGAUCACGAGUAUUCUUUUAGGAUUCAAUUAAAGGAAGAAAACCAAUGAUGAGAGUUCUCAAGGUGAAAGGCUUGUGGCAAAGAGUAAUUCGAAACAUGGGAGAAACAAGUCCUAGAGCUAAUUGAGUAACAAUAAAUCUUGAUCUAAAUCUAGGAAGAGAAAUGACAUGCAAUGUUAUAAGUGCAGAAAAAUGGGGCACAUGAAACGAGAUUGUCUAGAGAAAAAUAAAGGGAGCUCGAUAUCGGAAAAUAAAGAGGGUUCAUCAAAGUCUACGAAUGUAGUGGCAUAAGAAGACUCAGAGAGUGGUGAUAGUGAUAUGCUAUUGGUUUCAUCCAAUUUAGAUCAUCUUACAGAUUAUUGGAUCUUGGAUUCAGCAUGCUCAUAUCAUAUGACACCCAAUAAAGAUUGGUUUAACACUUACAGGUCAGUAAAUUCUGGUUCUGUUCUGAUGGGUAAUGACGCUUCAUGUAAAGUUGCUGGAAUAGGGAAUAUCAUAAUUAAAAUGUUUGAUGGUGUUGUUAGAACAUUGUGUGAUGUUAGACAUGUAUCUGAUUUAAGUAAGAAUCUUAUUUCCUUAGGGACUUUAGACUGUAACGGGUUUAGUUACAAGUCUACAAAUGGAGUAAUGAAGGUGAGUAAAGGUGCUAUGAGAGUGAUGAAAAGGUAAAAACUAGCAAGAAAUAUUUAUAAACUAUUAGGUACCACAAUUGUAGGUGAAAUUGCAACCACAAAGUUUGAGUCAAACAGUACGGUCUUGUGGCAUAUGCGGUUAGGGCAUAUGGGUGAGCGUGGGAUGAUGGAGCUUCAUAAGAGAAAUCUGUUGAAGGGUAUCAAAAUAUGUAAACUUGAUUUCUACAAGUAUUGUGUUUUUGGGAAACAGAAGAAAGUGUAGUUCAAGACAGCCACACACAAGACAGAGGAGUUUAUUGAUUAAGUUCAUACAGACGUUUGGGGACUAGUAAGGGUAGCAUCAUUGGGAGGAAAUAGGUAUUUUAUGAGUUUUAUUGAAGAUUACUCACGAAAGGUUUGGGUGUACUUCAUGCGGCACAAGUCGAAAACAUUUGCCAAGUUUAAGUUGUGGAAAGCUAAAGUAGAAAACCAGACAGGGAGAAAUAUAAAAUGCCUCAGGUCAGAUAAUGGUACUAAAAAUAUAGAUUGAAAGUUCACGGAAUUGUGUGAGCAACAUGGGAUUAAGAGACAUUUCACAGUACGUAAGACACCACAACAGAAUGGUGUAACAGAAAGGAUGAAUAGAACAAUAGCUAAAAGAGCUCGAUGUCUCAAAUUGAAUGUAGGCCUUGAAAAGAAAUUUUGGGCAGAAGCAGUGAACAUGGCAUGUUACUUGAUCAACAGGUCACCCAGAGCAGCAUUAGAUGGGAAAGAAGCAAAGGAGUUAUGAACAGGCAAUCCGAUAGAUUACUCUAGUUUGAGAGUAUUUGGGAACCCAGCCUAUGUGCACAUUCCUAAUGAGGAGAUAUCAAAGCUUCAUGUGAAGUCUAGACAAUGUAUUUUUCUAGGGUAUUAGAAAGGGGUGAAAGGUUUCAAGCUCUAGGAUCCAAAGGCAAACAAGGUGGUGAUCAGUAGAGAUGUGAUUUUUGAUGAGAAAGGCAUGUUAUAGUGUACUCAGAAAUGAGAGAAACAGGAACCAAAAAAUUGUAGCAAUAAUGAGCAGUUGAUACAUGUGGGAUUAGAGACCCAUGAUAUAGAGGAUCAUGCUCGAAAUACGGGGAAGUCUAGUUCAAAAUAUCAGUAGCAUCACAGUAUAGUCAUAGACAAACACAAACGCACUAUUAGGCCACUUACCAGGUAUGGUUUUGAAGAUUUGGUUUCUUAUGCAUUGAUUACUAGUAGCAGGGAUCCUACUACUUUUCAAGAGGCAAUACACAACCAAGAGAAAAGUAGAUGGAUGGGUGCUAUGGUGGAAGAGAUUCAGUCUUUGCAUAAAAACUAGACAUGGGAUUUGGUGGAGCUUCCCAAGGGAAAGAAAGCAAUAAGAUGUAAACAGGUGUACAAGAAGAAAAAAGCGAUUUCAGAAAAAAAAAAAAAUGGUGAAAAUUUCAAAGCUUGUUUAGUAGCAAAAGGUUACUCACAUAGGAAAGGGGUUGACUAUGAUGAGAUCUUCUCUCCCAUGGUCAAACACACUUCCAUCAGGACAGUGUUGGGUUUAGUAGCCCAUUUUGACAUGCAAUUGGAGCAAAUGGAUGUAAAGAUAGCUUUUCUUCAUGGUGAUUUGGAGGAGUUGGUCUAUAUGGUACAACCAAUAGGGUUUAUUCAACCUGAACAAGAACAGUACUUGGUCUGUAAAUUGAGUAAAUCACUUCAUGGGUUGAAGCAGUCCCGUGCUACAAACGAUUUGACUCCUACAUGAUUAGGAUUGGCUACAAGAGAUGUAAUCGGAGCGCAAUCAUAACUCAUGAGCCAAAAUUUUCCUUUUGUAAUUCAAACGUAACCGGAGCGCAAUUAUUUUCUUUCGUUCCUCACCAGGUACAACGUUUCUGAAAGAGUAUUGAUAUUGAUAUAUCAUGCGAAUCAAAAUCGUCUCAUGGUGUGAAGGCAUGCAGCUGGGCGGCAGACAAUUAAUUAAAUGCAGGUCUAGAAUGAUCUCAACAUUCAACCGACUGAGAAUGAUUGAAGCAUAUUGACUUUGAAUUUGUAAUUGGUGCAGAAACAGUCUGCAUGGCUACCAGCCUGCCACAUGCUCUGUGUGGUUACCCUCCACGCCAUGUGUUUAUCUGUCGAACUUUGUUAAUUGGAUUCAAACCUAUUCCCUCGUCAUCAAAUCAAUCUUUUUGUACGAAAAUAGACUAUUAUUAUACUCGAUGCGCGUGCCAAUAAAAUUUUGACGGGUGACAAUCAAAAGUUAUUUCUAGAUGACGAGGCCUCCAUGGAAGAAGCUCUAACCUUGAAGGGUGAAAACAGUGGUUAUCAAGGGUGAAAGGGCUACCUACCUACAUAAUUAACAAAUGGCUUCUUUUGGUUUUUGGGAGGAAUGAUUUGAUUUUCUUAAUAUUAUCAUUAAGCCUUUUAGGGAUUAUAAGGAUUGACCAGGAUGAUGAUUAAUCAAAAGUUAAGGCAAAUUUUGAAUCUAAGCAUACCAGCUAUUUAUUUUAUUUUGUUUAUAUCAUAGGUAAUCUCACGAACCUAGGUAUAUUCCUUAAACCAAGUGUACGUCUUGUUUGUCUGUGUGUCUUUUUCUGAUUCUACUAUUCUGUUUGUCAAAUUAGAAGAACCUUCAUACAUCAAAACCUACAUCAUUUACGCAUGGCUGAUAGUAAAAAAGAUGAUGUAUCAAGCUAUUUGUAAAAGCUAACUUGAACAAUUUUCCCAAAGAUCCCGGAUGAGAGAACCUUCGAUCGGGAGGAUAAAUGACUCCAAGUAGCAUUCAUGUAUGAUUUAUAUUUGAUCCCAUUGAUGAUACCUAUCAUUCUUCAUCGGCUAUCUUUGUUACUCUUCUCCUUUACUUUGAAAAAAUAGAGUUGCUUACUCAAGUACAAGAUGUCUAUUAGACAAAUAAAUGACCCACCUGCAAAAGUGAAGCUCUAUCAAAUGAACUAUAUCACCUUGAGCCAAAUGAAGCAUGCAUAAAUGAAUCAGAUGAUUAAUAUACAACACAGAAAUAUCACUUGUAGAAACCUUGGUGAAAUUAGUUGAAAUAAUACCAGCCACCCUCCAAUUAAUUUAUAUAGCCUUUUGGACUUCUAUGCCUUUCACACAUCAUUUUAAGGUCAAAUAUUUCAACAUCUGAACUACAUCUCAGACCAUUAAAAAUCUUAUCAAAAUUGAUGUAAAGUCCCACAUGAAAGACGACCAGCGACAACCUCCCUAGCUAUCAAUUCAUUUAAGUAUGUUAUGGACUACAAUACUUGACAUUCCAAUAUAAUUUCAGCCUCAUCUACAUGCUGAGCUGAGUAUCAUGGAGCCUGUAGGUGAUCUGGAUUCAAGACAGCAGGCUCUCAAGCCUAUUCAAACAAAGAGAUCAGCAGGAAGAGAAGUAGAAGGAGAUGGCGAAAAACCCGAGGAUAUCGAAGAAGAAGAAGAAGAACCUCUGAGUCCAGCUGCUCGAAUAUUUCAUGAACCUUGCUUCAAUGUCUAAGUCAUAGCCAUUGCUGGGUGCAAAACCAGAAUCAAUGUUGAUCUUUUUCCAGUAAAGAAGACCUCGAAUCCUGAUCCGGUAAACUCUGGCAGGAUUUGGUGGACAAUUCUAAAUUUUAAAUAGUUUGAUAACAUUCUAAAUUUUCAAAAAAAAACCUUUUAUUCCAAAAAACAAAAACUAAUUUAGAAAACCAUUCCCAAAAAAUAACUUUUUUAGAAUGGGUAUCUAAAAUAUUCCUAACGUUCCACGUAGCAACUAUGUGACAUAAAGUACCAUAAAUUUAGAAAUAUUUUAAGGUACCAUAUUUUAAAAAAAUAUUUUUAAAAAAUAUUUUAAAAAUUUUAUAUAUUUGUUUAUAUUAUAAGAUCCUUGUAUUUAUAUCUCAAAUUACUCAAAAAUAUCCUUGAAUGGUUUCUAUUGAUUUAAAAAGUAGUAGAACAAUUUAUUUCUUCUGACAGUGUCGGUCGCUUUGGGCAUUUUUUACAAUUAAAACAUGGCAUGAAAGUUUGGUACGGUGGUUGAAAUUAUCAUAAAUUUGAAAGGGAUGCCCAAGUUCCGUCCAAAUCUCAAAAACGAUAGUUGGUUCAAUUACUCUCCAUGUGCAAGCCAAAUUCUUUCCUGGCAAAACCCUCAAAUCCAUUUCUUGGAACUAAAAUUUGUACCGUCUCUAUCAUUAAUCCUAAAUUCAAUUUGAAAUUCCAAACUUCAAUAUUAUGAGUUCGAAAUUAAUUUCCAAUGUGGUCUUAUAACUCAUAUGCCACUGGAUUCUAGAUAGGAGCAGAACCAACAAUGGUGGAGACACGCCAUCUUUCCAUUUCCAUUGAUGACUUGAAGGGGGGCCUACCUACCUACAUACCUAUUAAUAAGUGGCUUCGGUUUAUUUAGAUAAUGAACAUAUACCCAAAAAAAGACUUUAUUAAGAGAAGUAUAUAAAAAAGAUAGAACAUUAAACUAUUCGUAAAGACCGAUUUGAUCGACUUUUCUUGAGAUCCUAAAUGAGGAAACCUUAGGAAGGGUAAAAGACUCCAAGUAACAGUCACGUACGAUAUCAGCUUUUCCCCUUUCCUUUGACAGAUAAGAGUUACCUACUCAAUUGCAGGAUGUUUAUUAGACAAAUAAAUGCCCCAGCUACAAAAGUGAAGCUCUAUCAUGUGAGCUAUAUCACCUUGAGCCAAAUGAAGCAUGCAUAAAAAAGAAUUAGAUGCUUCUUUAUAUAUGUUUGUAUAUGUAUAACACAUGAUAAGAUCAUUCAUGCAGCCUGUUGAUUUUCUUACAACAAUUCUUAGUGAAAAAAUUAGAAAAAAACAAAAGAAAACACACAAAUUUAAUGUGAUUUGACAAAUUGUCUAUAUCCACGAGAAUAAAAAGGAAGACUUUUAUUACAUCUAAAAUUAAGAUUAUAUAAAAAGGUAUUUAUAUUAACCAUCAAAUAUUAAAAUUCUAAAAAUACCCUUAAAUCGUACCAUGAAGGGGCGUUGCCUCUCGCACCCCCAACAUAUCGUUCACCCUCAAUAAUAAAAAUAUGAAUUUGAAUGAAAAAUGUCAUCAUUCCACUAUGUUCUACUUCAAUAUUUAACCAUUUUUCUCCAUAUAUAUAUAUAAAAGCCACAUAAUACAACACAGCCUUUUUAAAUGUGUUUCACACAUCAGUUGAAGGUCAAACAUUUCAAUAUCUCAACUAUAUGAUGCGCAAUUAAAAAUCUUAUCAAAAUUGAUGUAAAUCAUGUUACUGGUGUCCCACAUGAAAGACUUAUGUGUCCUAGCGCUCCAACUAGCAACAACCUUCCUGUCAUUUCAUUUAAGUACGUUGGACUACUGCUAUAUAUGUGUUUGCACAAUACUUGACAUUCCGAUAUAGUUUCAGUCUCAUCCAAAAGCUGAGCUGCGUGUCAUGGAGCCAGUAGGUGAUCUGGAUUCAAGACAGCAAGCUCUCAAGCCCAUUCAAACAAAGAGAUUAGCAGCAAGAGAAGUUGAAGGAGAUGGCAAAAAACCCGAGGAUAUCAAAGAAGAAGAAGAAGGAGAAGCUUUGAGUCCAGUUGGUCGAAUUUUUCAUGAAACUUGCUUCAAUGUCUAUGUCAUAGCCAUUGCUGGGUUCAAAAUCAGAAUCAAUGUGGAUGUUGUUAAAGCCAAUUUGGAGCACACUCUGCUUAAGCACCCUCGUUUCUCUAGCUUGCAGGUAUGAAAAAAGCUUUUUGGUACAUUAAUUAAUAUCUUAGCAUGAUAUAUAUCUAAACCAAGCUUCUUUUACGUAAGGCUUUAUUUGAAUGCCUGUCCUAUUUUUUUGUUUUUAAAAGAUAAAAACUCAUCUCCUCUUGGCUUAUCAAUUUAUUUUUUUAUAUUAUCUCGAUUAGGUGAAGGACGUGAAAAAGGAUGGAGGGAUGAAAUGGGUUCCAACAAAGGUGGACUUGGACAAGCACAUUAUAAUACCAAGCCUCCACCACACCAUUUCUUCACCAGACAAGAUGGUGGAAGACUACAUCUCCAAUCUCAGUAAAACCUACAUAGACUACUCUAAGCCUCUUUGGGAGCUCCAUAUUCUCAACAUUAAGACCUCGGAUGCCGAGUCUGUCGCCGUUUUCCGAAUCCACCAUUCCCUGGGUGACGGCAUGUCCCUCAUGUCUCUUGUCCUCUCUUGCUCCCGUCAAAUCUCCAACCCGAAAGCUCUCCCAACUUUGCCAGCGAAAAAGACUUCGAAUCCUGAUCCGGUAAACUCCGGCAGGAUUUGGUGGACAAUUCGACUGGUUUGGAAUACUAUUAUAGAUGUUUUGAUGUUUCUUGCCACAACUCUCUUCUUAAAGGAUACCAUGACACCACUCAGCAAUGGUUGGAAAAAGGGAGGUGGGCAUGUGCCAAGGAGGUUUGUUUACCGAACCGUUAGUCUUGAUGAUAUUAAACUAAUCAAGAAUGGGAUGAAAACAGUAAGUUGAUUCCAAAAACUGGCUCCACCCUUUAAGUUUCCUUGUAUACUUGUGCUUUAAAUAGAAACAUAAUACAACAUUUUCAUUUUUAAAAAUAAGACAAAUUUCAAUUAAAAUAAUAAUAAUGAUUAUUUUAAAAAAUAAUUUAAAAUAAAUAUAAAUUGAUUACCUAAUUUAUGUUUUUUAUCAAAUUUAUUAUUACUUUUUUUUAUAUUUUUAUUUAAAAAUAAAAUAGCCUACACGUGAAAUAUAUAACAAUGUAAACUUAUGGGUUUACAUUAUUUAGACUUAAUAAAUCAUAUUGUUUUGGGGCAUUGCAGACUAUUAACGAUGUUGUAAUGGGAGUGUCAUUGGCUGGUCUUUCUCGAUAUCUCAAUAGAAGAUAUGGUAAGCUUUCAUUAAUUCUCAGUUCAAUUUCUCUACCUACCCAACCAUUGUAUCCAAGCUUACAAGUCACAUUGAAGCUAUGUAUAUAAUAUAAUCAAUUGGGAAAUUUGGAAGAGAGCUAGAUAAAAUAAUCUUUAAACUAUAUGAGUAGAAACUCUUUAACAUGUGUUCCAUUUAUUAAUUGCAGGUGAGACCAAGGAAGAUAAAGGAGCCACCCAAAAGAAAAAUAAUCUUCCGAAGAAUAUUCGCCUGAGGGCAACUCUUAUGAUGAAUAUAAGACCAUCACCAGGGCUUCAUGUGAGUGAUUUUCAUAUUCAAUUUGAAAGAAUAUUUGUAGGAAAAUGUGGCUGCUGUGUGGCCAACUUUAAGAUGUGGCCAACUUUAAGAUAUAAUAGGGAUUUUGUUUUCAACAGCUUUUAACCUCUGUUUUCAAAGUGUAUAGAACAACAACGGUUAAGGUCAUGUUUGGAUGCAUUUCUUACUUUUUAUUUUUAAACAUAAAAAAUAGUAUAUAAAACAUAGGAAUUAUUAACGAAAAAAAAUAGAAAAAAAAAUGAAGGAAAAUAAAAUUUAGAUUCAAAAUCAAUAAUUUAUUUUUAUAUGUUUUUUCAAACUCAUUCUACUUAGUUCUUCUAUCAUAUAAAGAUCAAAUAAUUUUUAAAUGUAUACAUUUUUAACUAAUUUUAAUUAUAUUUAAUUUUCUUUAAAAAAAAUUUAUGGUGAAGUCAAAUAUGAGAAAACUAUUUUUUUUAGCAUUUUUUUUAUUUUUUUAUUACUUCCCGAAAACCAAACAACCAAUAUAUUACUUUGAAAAGUGUAUAAGAGUAUGAAGUUAUGUUUUAAUAGUAACUUUAAUGUUUAAAAAGUUCUCUCAAUAAGAGGAUUAUAAUAUACAUUAAACUCGAUACUCUGAUUAUUAGUGGAUAUAACUAUCAAAAUGCUUUCAAAACACAUUUUCCAUUUAAAUUAAAAUAUUAAUUAAUUUUCUAUAGAAAUAUCUUCAAUAAAUUGUUAGUGAAAAAAAAAUGUUUUAACAACAAUCACCUUAAAAUCCUUCAUGUGCUACAAAACAAAUUGAUUGGUUUAUUCAUCAUGAAAUUUCAUGGUAAUUAGGCUUUAGCGGAGAUGAUGGAGAAGGGGUCUAAAGCGAAAUGGGGAAAUUGGAUUGGAUCUAUGCUCCUCCCUUUUGCCAUUGCCUUAUAUGAUGACCCUUUAGACUAUGUUCGUCAAACUAAAGCCACAAUCGAUCGAAAGAAGCAUUCUCAUGAAGCUAUAUUUACAUGUUUCAUUAUUAAGACAGUUCUCAAAUUAUUUGGUGCUAAGGUAUGAAUUUCCUUAUCCUUAAUAUUGAAAUAGAUCACCUAGGAAAUUAUACAUUUUCAAGCUCCUCUUCUUCCAAAAAAAAUAAUAAUAAUAAAAUCUAACUUCUAUUUUUUGUUUUCUUUCCUUUCUACUUUCUUCUUGUGAUCUUACCUUGGAGAUCUUUUUUUUGGCAUGGCAAAUAGGUUGCAGCAUUUUUAUACCAUAGAGUUAUGAAUCACACGACAAUGUGCUUCUCAAAUGUGGUUGGACCUAUGGAAGAAAUCGGUUUUUAUGGCCAUCCAAUGGCUUUCCUUGCUCCAAGCGUUUACGGCCAACCACAAGUAAGUCUAUAUAUAUAUAUAUGUGUGUGUGUGUGUGUGUGUGUGGUUAUUUGAUUAAAUGGGUCAUUGAAAACUCAAAUAUGAAAAAAUGACCUUUGUGGUUUGAAAGCAUGAACCAUAAUCGAGAAAUUAUAUUUGUAUUCAUCAAUUUUUUAAUUACAUUUAUCAUAUUUAUACAUUCACUUUAAAAUACUAACCGUAUUAAUACAUCACCUACAAAUUUCCAAUAUUAUAAAAACACCCUUCCUAUUCUUCUCUUUUUUACACAUUCACUUUAAAAUACUAACCGUAUUAAUACAUUACCUACAAAUUUCCAAUAUCAUAAAAACACCGUUCCCAUUCUUCUCUUCUAUACCUAUCUUUUUUUUCUUUUUUUUUCUAUUAACUUUUUUUCUUCUCAAUAAUAAAUCCUAAGAGAAACUAUCUUUUAGGGCUUAUUCUUCAUGUAAAUUUUGAUUAAAAAAACAUUUUGUAAAAAUAGUUGAAAAACAAAUAGAAUUUUUUUUAUAAAUAAUUAGAAGUGAGAAAUCAUGAAAAAGUUCAAAAGAAAUAAUAUUAUGACUGACUUUUUAUUAUGUGUUUUGUUGUAGGGAUUGAUGAUUCAUUUCCAAAGUUACAUCAAUAAAAUGACAUUUAUUCUUUCAGUUGAUGAAGAAAUAAUUCCUGAUCCUAAUCGAUUAUGUGAUGAUCUUGAAGAGUCACUCAAGUUUAUCAAGGAUGUUGUUAUUGCAAGAGGUCUUGUCUAGAAAAAUUCCAUAAAAUAAGAAUGAUUAUUACAUGUUACAUCCAUAUAUGAACUAUGAAGAUUUGUGCUUUUAUGGUCAUUUGUGGUUUUAAUCGAGUGUGUUUUAUAAAUCUAAAGUGAAAUGUUUUAUUUUCGAAUAAAUUUUGAGCUUUAUAAUGUUAUAUAUAUGUCACAUGCACGUAUGCUUGGAAAUUUUUAUAUGAGAAUAAGACAUGUGGGUCAUGCCUUGUUUUGGGAAUGGGCCUAACUUGGGCCAGCCUUGGGCUUGAGCCUAAUUAGGUCUUAAGUUGGGCUAAUUAGUACGAUGAAGUCAAAAACUAGCAAAAUUUUGGGCUCCAUGAUAUCUCAAAAUUUAAAAUUGAUUAAAGCCAUUAAUAUCGGGCCACAUCAACGGCUAAAGUUGCAAGGCGACAACCGCCAUCACUUGGCAACUCCCAAGCCCUGUUGCUCUAAUGGCUAGAGAUAUUAAUCCGCCUGAACCCUAGAAAAAACUCAUAGAUAUAUAUAUAGAGAGAAAAUAUAUUAUACUUAAAAACAAAUUUAAAAUAAUGAUUUAUAUACUCAAAAACAGUUUAAUAUAAUGAUUUAUUUAGUUAAAUAUAUUUAAGGAUAUAAAAAAAUCAUGACACAGAUAUGAUUACUUUUUAAUUAUUUAAAAAUAUUUAAAAUAUUAUUUUCCAGUUUAUACUUUUCUUAUAUUUAAUAUUAAAAAUUUUAAUUUAAUUACAAAAUAGAUGAUGUAGUUUGAUAAAUUUAAAAAAAUAAUUAAAAUUUAUUUUUUUAUUAAGUUUAAUAUUUUAGAUUAUAAUAAAUCGAUUUUAUGUGCUUUUAUAAAUAUCAAUCAAGUUUAGCUUGGUAGUGAAGUGGCGUGAUAAAAGUUGUUUUCUCUUUAUUAAAUCCAACCUUUUUCUUUAAUAAUUUUAAAAACUUCAAUGUGUUGUAAAAUAAGGACAAAUAUAAUGCAAAUCAAAGUAGUAGAGAUAAAAUAUGUCUUACAUUGAUAUAUAAUAUGAAAGAAGGAAUCAAAGAAGAGAAUUGAGAAAGUGAAAGAAAGAGAGAGAGAGAAUGAGAAGAAGAACUUUUCUUUUUUUUCUUGGGAUGUCUAUUACAGGAAACGGGAAGCCCUUUUAUAGGUUUUUUAAAUGGCUUCCAUUAAUAUCCUCAUUAAUGAAUAUUAAUGAAACUCAUAAAUAACAUUAAUGGUUUCCAUUAAUGAGUAUUAAUGGAAGUCAUAAAUAAUACUUAAUUAACAUUAAUGUGGUGACAUUCAUUACUACAAUUAUAACACUUCCUCUUGGAUGUUCACCACAUUGAAAGAAUAUGCCUCAUUAAAACCUUGCUAGUAAAAAACCCUAUAGGAAAAACCUAGCGAAGGAAAAAGAGUACAAUAUUCUUUUCUUGGUAUAUUAGGAUUGCCUCAUUAAAAACCUUGUUAGUAAAACCCAGUAGGACAAAACCUGGACGAAGGAAAAAAUAGUACAGUACACUAACACCCUUUUACAAGCAUACUCCCCCUCAUGUCGAUAUCCUUGAGUUGACGCAUUCCAAUUCUGUAUAUUAACUUCUUGAAUGUUGAGGUUGGCAAUGAUUUUGUGAAUAAAUCUGUUAGAUUAUUACUUGAGCGUAUUUGUUGCACAUCAAUUUCACCACUUUUCUGGAGUUCAUGUGUAUAAAAGAAUUUUGGUGAAAUGUGUUUAGUUCUAUCUCCUUUAAUAUAACCCCCUGUUAUUUGUGCAAUGCAUGCAACAUUAUCUUCAAAUAAUAUUGUCGGGUCACCUUUGAUAGAGGAGAGUCCACAUGAUUCCCGAAUAUGCUGGAUCAUAGAUCUUAGCCAUAUACAUUCACGACUUGUUUCAUGAAUUGCCAGUAUUUCUGAAUAAUUUGAUGAUGUGACCACCAUUGUUUGUUUGACAGAUCUCCAUGAAAUAGCAGUACCAUUGCAAUUAAACACAUACCCUGUUUGUGACCUGCCUUUAUGUGGAUCUGAAAGAUAUCCUGCAUCUGCAUAUCCAAGCAAUUGUUGCUUUGAUUCCCUUGAGUAAAAUAAACUCAUAUCAAUAGUUCCACGAAGAUAACGCAAUAUAUGUUUGAUACCAUUCCAAUGUCUUCGAGUUGGAGCGGAACUGUAUCUUGCCAAUAAAUUAACAGAAAAAGCAAUGUCUGGACGUGUACAAUUGGCAAGAUACAUAAGUGCACCAAUAGCACUAAGAUAUGGUACUUCAGGACCAAGUAACUCUUCAUCUUUUUCGCAAUGACGAAAUGGGUCAUUUUUCACAUCAAGUGAUCGGACAACCAUUAGAGAACUUAAAGGAUGCGCUUUGUCCAUAUAAAAACGCUUCAAAACUUUCUUAAUGUAUGUUGAUUGAUGUACUAAAACUCCAUUUGGAAAAUGCUUGAUCUGUAAGCCAAGACAAAAUUUUGUUUUUCCAAGAUCUUUCAUCUCAAAUUCCUUUUUCAAGUAAUUUGUUGUUCUUGUGAGCUCUUCAGGAGUUCCAACAAGAUUUAAGUCAUCAACAUACAUUGCAAUAAUUGUAAAUCCGGUUUCUGAUUUCUUAAUGAAAAUGCAUGGGCAUAUAGGGUUAUUCACAUACCCUUCUUUUAGCAAGUAUUCGCUAAGGCAAUUGUACCACAUGCGUCCAGAUUGCUUUAAUCCAUACAAGGAUCGUUGUAACUUGAUUGAGUACAUGCUACGAGGCUUUGUGUUAUUUGCUUCAGGCAAUUUAAAUCCUUCAGGGAUUUUCAUGUAUAUAUCAUUAUCCAUGGAUCCGUAUAAAUAUGUUGUAAUAACAUCCAUGAGACGCAUAUCUAGUCCUUCUAAGACUGCCAAACUAAUUAAGAAACGAAAUGUGAUUGCGUCCAUGACGGGAGAAUAUGUUUCCUCGUAGUCAAUACCAGGUCUCUACGAGAAACCUUGUGCUACUAAUCGCGCUUUAUAUCUUAUGAUCUCAUUAUUUUCAUUGUGUUUUCGUACAAAUACCCAUUUGUACCCAACAGGCUUUACAUCUUCAAGUGUUUGGACUACAGGUCUAAAAACUUCUCGUUUUAUUAAUGAGUUUAAUUCUGCCUGUAGAACUUCUUUCCAUAUUAGCCAAUCAUUUCUAUGUCGACAUUCUUCCACAUUUCGUGGUUCGGGAUCUUCAUCAUUUCUUAUGAUAUCAGAGGCCACUUGGAAAGCAAAAAUAUUGUUAAUAACAAUAUUAUUUCGAUCCCAUUUUUCUCCCGUUUGUACAUAACCUACUGAGAUCUCACAAUUUUCAGGUACCUGUGCCUCUUCAGGGGCUUCUUGUUCAAUAUGUGCCUCUUCAGGGGCUUUCUGCAUUAUUUGUGCCUCUUCUAGGGCUAUAGAUUUAUCAAUUUUAAGCUUAUCAGUUAUUUUGAUUGUCUCUUCUAGAGUGCCAAGUUUUUCUUGGGUUCUCCUCUUCCAGGGAGUUACAUCAUUUGAGCCGACAGGUCUACCACGCUUUAGGUGUAUCUUAGAUUCAUUUGUUAACUGUCCUAUAGGGACAUCAAUCCGUGCUGGAAUAUUUACAGCCGGGAUAUGUGACUUUGUCAUUUUCUUUGUAUCAAUGAAUGCAUCUGGUAAUUGAUUUGCAAGAUUUUGCAAAUGAAUGAUCCUUUGAACUUCUAGUUCACAUUGAUUUGUACGAGGAUCAAGAUGAGUCAUAGUAAAUGUCUCCCAACUAAUUCUCGUCGUUCUUCAGGAAUCGACUUUUCUCCCCCUAAUGAUAGGAAAACACUUUCAUUAAAAUGACAAUCCACAAAGCGGGCUGUAAAAACAUCGCCUAUCAAAGGUUCAAGAUAUCUUAUGAUAGAUGAAGAAUCAAAACCUACAUAAACCCCAAGUCUUCGUUAGGGACCCAUUUUAGUGCGUUGUGUAGGUGCAAUUGGUACAUAUACUGCACAACCAAAGAUUCGUAAGUGAGAGAUAUUUGGUUGUUUUCCAAGCACAAGUUGUGAAGGGGAGUAUUCAUGGUAAGUUGUAGGUCGAAUACGGACUAAAGCUGCAGCAUGCAUAAUAGCAUGUCCCCAGGCGGAAGUAGGUAAUUUGGUUUUCAUUAGUAAUGGUCGAGCUAUUAAUUGGAGACGUUUGAUGAAGGAUUCUGCUAAACCAUUUUGGGUAUGAGUAUAAGCAACAGGAUGCUCAAUAUUUAUCCCUACUGACAUGCAAUAGUCAAUGAAUGUUUGAGAAGUAAAUUCGCCAGCAUUAUCAAGACGUAUUGUCUUAAUUGGAUAAUCUGGAAAUUGUGCUCGUAAUCUGAUUAUUUGUGCAAGGAGUCUAGCAAAGGCUACAUUACGUGUAGAAAGGAGACAAACAUAUGACCACCUAGUAGAAGCAUCUAUUAAGAUCAUAAAAUAACAGAAUGGUCCACAUGGUGGAUGGAUAGGCCCACAUAUGUCCCCAUGUAUUCUUUCUAAAAAGAUUGGUGACUCAGAUAUGACUUUAGUAAAAGAUGGUCUGAUUAUCAAUUUACCUUGUGAGCAGGCAGCACAUGAGUAUUCAUUGGGCAAAAGAAUCUUCUGGUUCUUUAGUGGAUGCCCAUGUGAGUGUUCGAUUAUUCGACGCAUCAUUGAAGACCCUGGGUGACCUAGCCUGUCAUGCCAAAGGACAAAAACUUUUGGGUCGUUGAACUUCUGGUUCACGACAACAUAUGAUUCAAUAGGCUUUAUAGUUGUAUGAUACAACCCAGAGGAGAAAGCCGGGAGUUUUUCCAUUAUAAGCUUCUGGCCAGAUAUAAUGGAAGUAAUGUAAAGAUAUUCUACAUUAUCUUCAUUCAUAGUUUCAAUAUGAUAUCCAUUUCUGCGGAUAUCUUUAAAACUGAGCAAAUUUCUUCUGGAUUUGCUAGAAUAUAACGCGUCAUUUAUAUGGAAUCUAGUUCCAUUUGGCAACGUUAUGUUUGCUCUUCCAGAACCUUCAACUAAGUUUGUAGUACCAGAUAUGGUACUUACAUUAGCUUUUAUUAAUGUCAAUUCAAGGAAAUAUCUUUUAUCUCGAAGAAUUGUGUGCGUGGUCGCACAGUCUGCGAGACAUACAUCAUCCUCAUUCAUCUUGAGACCAAAUAACACAUGGACUUCAAAUAUAACAAAAAAAACAAGACAUAAUGUAAAUAACAAAGUAAAUCAGAUGUAAAUAUAAGACAUAAUAAUAUAUUAUUUCAUAUAUAAAGUAACAUCAAUCAAUGUUAAUUUUCUCAUCAUUUAUCAAAUGGUCUGUUUUUUCAUUGAGACCUCCAAAGAAAUCAAUGUCAUAGUAGGUUAGGUUCAAUCCAUCACCAUCGGUAAAGUUCAUCUCUAUCUCUUUUCCUUUAGCUUUUAUUGAUGCUUGGUAAAGGUCGACCAAAUGUUUGGGCGUACGACAGGUACGCGACCAAUGCCCCUUCAUACCACAUCUAUAACAAUUAUUCUCAUGGUUCUUAGGAGGUUUAUCUUGUAAACGCUUCCCAUUUUCUUGUAUUGUCUCAGUAUUGUUCCACUUCUGGUGGUGCAAUGAGGCUUUCAUUUUCUGAGAAUUAUUACUAUAAGAACCAUGGUAUCGAGAAUUUCUUCCUCGUCCACGUCCACGAGUUUGGGACGAUAUUGCAUUCACUUCAAGGAAUGGUUCAGAUCCAGUUGGACGAGACUGGUGAUUUCUCAUCAAAAGCUCAUUAUUUUGUUCAGCAACAAGAAUACAUGAUAUUAAUUCAGAAUAUUUUGUAAAUCUACGCUCUCGAUAUUGCUGUUGCAGGAGCACAUUCGAGGCAUGAAACGUAGUAAAAAUUUUCUCUAACAUGUCUUCCUCUGUGAUUUUUUUUCUCCACACAGCUUUAAUUGAGAGCUGAUUUUGAAAAGUACAGAGUUGUAUUCACUAAUAGUUUUAAAAUCUUGCAACCUUAGGUGCAUCCAAUCAUAUCGAGCUUUUGGGAGAAUCACAGUUUUCUGGUGGUCAUAUCUUUCCUUCAAAUUAUUCCAUAGAGUAAAAGGGUCUUUUAUCGUAAGAUACUCAUUUUUUAAACCUUCAUGGAGGUGAUGGCGAAGGAAAAUCAAUGCUUUUACGCGAUCCUGCAGGGAUGCUUGAUUUCCUUGUUUAAUCGUAGCUCCAAGGUUCAUUGCAUCAAGAUGUAAUUCAGCAUCAAGGAUCCAAGAUAGAUAGUUCUUUCCCGAAAUGUCAAGUGCCACAAAUUCGAGUUUUGUGAUAUUCGACAUUAUCAAAUAACUUCAUAUAUAUGACAAACAAUAUUAUUAAAAUCAGUUAUAAUAACUUGAUAGCAUUGAUAUAACUACGAUUAUAAACAAAAUCAAAUAAUUUGUUUAUAACUUUUAACAAUAUGUAACAAAACAAAUUAACAAUAAUAUAAAUAUGUAAAAUUUUAUUCUAUAUAAAUAACUUCAAGUUUAAGAUACGAGAAUUACCUUCAGAGCAAUUCGUGUUGAUAACGUGUUGUAAAAUAAGGACAAAUAUAAUGCAAAUCAUAGUAGAGAUAAAAUAUAUCUUACUUUGAUAUAUAAUAUGAAAGAAGGAAUCAAAGAAGAGAAUUGAGAAAGUGAAAGAAAGAGAGAGAGAGAGAGAGAGAGAAUGAGAAGAAGAACUUUUCUUUCUUUUCUCGGGAUGUCUAUUACCAGAGACAGGAAGCCCUUUUAUAGGCUUUUUAAAUGGCUUCCAUUAAUAUCCUCAUUAAUGAAUAUUAAUAAAACUCAUAAAUAACAUUAAUGGUUUCCAUUAAUGAGUAUUAAUGGAAGUCAUAAAUAAUACUUAAUUAACAUUAAUGUGGUGACAUUCAUUACUACAAUUAUAACACAAUGUUUAUUUUUUAUUUUGUUUCUCUUGCAUUUAUUGCAGGCCAAACUUGUCACAAAAUACUUUGUCAAGUUCCUUUCUAAUCUCUCUCCCCUCUAGCAAUCUCCAAUGGACCCAGUCAUUCUCUCAAGCCUUCAAAAUCGACACAAGGACUAACAAAAUGUGUGGACAAUAACAUCACGAAUCAUGAAUAAUCAAUUGCAUGCCUUCCUGAUAUUAAAUAUUGAAUGUGAUGUUAGAAAAUUCUUAAAAUUACAAAUAAUAAAAUUGAAAAUUCAACAUCAUACCUUUAGCUAUGGUAAUCAAAUUCACAAUUUAUGGGAGUAAAUAAAAAAUAGAAGAAAAUUAGGGAUUCAUUGGAUAGUUCUUCCAAAACCUUAUGUCCAUGCACCAAUGGAAACUUAAUCAUAAACUUCUUAUUGUGAAUAGAGAUUUUUAUCCCUAUGAAGUUUUAACAUAUAAUAUAAUAUUUCUUGAUAUCUUCUUCCCAUAAAAAAAAAAAGAUAAAAUAAAUACUGAUGGGUAGUUACCAUUAAAAGAUGAGUCACAUGGUAGCUAGAUGUGUCUCACAUUUUAGGGAAAAUAAUGUCUCAAUGGAUUUAAUUUUAAAUGGAUCAUAAAAAUUGAAACAUUUAUUUUAUUUUAUUUAAAAUAAAAAAUGUUUCCAACAUGUCAGGCCGAUGCGCACACACGAGAUCCAUACUGUCACAAAUUCAUUUCCAAACUAGUUAUGAACCAUAACCUAAUUCAUUUCCAAACUAGUUAUGAACUAGAACCUAACUUCACCUGGCCUCCAUUUGCUGUGAUAUGUUGUCUUCAUGGUUAAUGUGUCAUCCCUAUGCUAAACAUUGAAAAAAGAUGUUAGGGGCAACUUACUUUAUCAAAUAUUUGAUUUAUGUACUAUCAUUUUGAUAGACAUUAAAAUUAAUUAUUUCUCAAAAAAAAAAAUUCAAUAGAAAAAAUCUCAAACCAAAGAAAAGUACUUAGCAUUAAACUCGAGAGAGUUGCACCACAUAUAUAUUUGUAGCUUAGGACCACGGGGUUCUCACAUCCAUCAAGUUUUCGUGCUUGAUUUGUGUAUUUGGCCGCCAAACAUACAGAAAUUGUAGCUCAAAAUCUACUGGUUUAAUUAAAGUGGCAGAUUUUAAAUUUUUAUUUAUUUCUUUGUGUAUGGACUUUUAAGGUUCAAAAUCAAGUGGGAAAGAGACAGCCCGCACCCUCAACUUUGCAUUGAGUUGGAUCUACUAAUUAAUUGGUAGCCAAUAAUCUUUUUUUUUCUUUCCUUCUGAUCAUACAUAUCCAUUUAGAAUUGAUAUUCAAGAGGAUGUCAAGACUCAGAUUUGUUUUUCUUUUCAGAUUUUCUUGGCUACCAAUCAUCAUAUCAAGAAUUUUACAUGAAAUAAAAAAUAAAAAAUAUCAAUAAUUUACUUUUUUUUAUCUGUAUUUCUAUCCCUUGAAUUGAAAGUGGAGCUAAGAAGAAAGAAAAUAUCCUAAACAACUAAAGUCCUUGAAAUUAAUCUCAAUUUGAUCUUAAAAAAAUAAAUAAGUGGAAGAAAACCAUAAACCUUAUUUCUGCAAGAUUCAAACCCAUCUAUAAUCCACAUAUUUCACCACUCCUAAUGUCCACACUCUUUAAACCACCUCACUUUUUAUACGAAAUGUUUGUUUAUAAAAGAAAAAACUCUAAAAUAAAAAAUAAAUAAUAAUAAUAAUAAAAAACAUGUUAAAAGGAAGAGAAACAUUUAUGUAGAAGAGUGGUUGUUGAUAUGACAAGUGAAAUGGUCAUUUUAAGGAAUAAUUAUAUGACUAGUGCGUGUAUUUAGAAAAAUUGUGGUCCUUUUCUCUAUAUUUUUUCAAAGUAAGAAUUGAAAACCCACUUUCCCUGUUAUUUAUACUUGUGUUUGUGGGUUGUUUUAAAAAUAAUUAUAAAGGUAAGGAGAAUGAUUGAUUAAAAAUAAAGCAUAAAAAAAAUUAUUUUUAAUAAAUAUUUAGAAACAUAAAAAAACAAGUUAAGAAUAUUCUAAACUCUCAAAUGAAGUUUUGUUCUAACAAUUUUUUAGAACAAGUUUCUAAAACAUUGUCAAAUAUAUCUUUAAUUUUCUAUUGAAAUGCCCAUGUUGCAAUUCAACUUGAUGACAUAAAGUAUAAUAAAUUUAGAAAUAUUUUUAAAGUAUCAUAUUUUAAAAAGAAUUUUUAAGAUAUGCUAUAGUCGUUUAUAUUAUAAUUUAUAUCUCAAAUUACUCAUAUUCAUGAAUGGUUUUUAUAUAGUUAUUUAAAAAGCAGUAUAACUUUAUUUCUUCUAACAAGGUGUAUUGCUAAUAUUGUAAUUAUAUACUUGAACAUAUUACUAUCUAAUAAAAUUUUAAAGGAUAUAACAUAUAAGGACUUGAAAGAAUAUUCUUGAAAAUUUAGCAUGUAUCUAAUUUUCAUGCCUAUCUAACCAAGAAUUUGAAAUGAAAAUGAAAUUCACUUUACAACUUUGAAUCAAAUCAUCCUCAAAUAAGAAAAGUUCCAUCACUAAUCUUUUGUGGAAAAACCUUCAAAUCCUUUCUUCUUUUUCUUCUUUUUAAUAAUUUAUAUGGUCUCUAUCAUUAAUCCUAAAUUCAAUUUGAAAUUCGAUUCUAGAAAUAAAUAGUAUGACUUCUUGUUCUAAACCCAGGUUGAUCCUAUAAAUAGGAGCACAACCAACAAUGGUGGAGGCACGCCAUCUUUCCAUUUCUAUUCGUCUGUUGUUUUUUCAUUCUGAAAGCAGCUAGCACCCUGGAAACCCAAUCAGGUUUGAAGGACGCACUUAAGCCUAUUAGAACUGCGCCCAAAGAAGGUGAUGAAAAGGGAAUGGUAGUUAAGCGUCAUGAUCAGGAAGAUCAUCAGCCAUUGAGUCCAAUGGCUCGUUUGUUUCAUGAACCUGACUGCGAUCUCUAUGUUAUCGGCAUGAUCGGCACGAAAACUCGCAUCGACCCUGAUGUGUUUAAAGCCAACCUGGUGCAUAGUCUCCUUAAACACCCUCGUUUCUCUAGUCUGCAUGUAGAAAUCUUGCAUGCCAGAAGGAAUGAACUUGCCAUUUAGUAAUUUAAAGCUACAUUGAACAUUUUUGAACUAAAAUGCAGCGGUAUUUCAAAAUCAGGUUAUGGAGGAGGAAAAGGGAGGAGAGACGAAAUGGGUUCCAACAAAAGUUGAUUUGGAAAACCACGUUAUAGUUCCAGACAUGUGUUCCGACAUGGAAACAUCAUCAGACAAGUACGUGGAAGACUACAUUUGCAACCUCACUAAAACAACCCUAGACUUUUCCAAGCCAUUAUGGGACCUUCAUCUCCUCAACGUGAAAACCUCCGACGCCGAGGCCGUCGCCGUUUUCAGGAUUCAUCACUCCCUCGGCGAUGGCACGUCUCUCAUGUCUCUUUUACUUGCCUGCACACGCAGAGCCUCAGAUCCCAUGGCUCUGCCUUCUGUUCCCAUGAUGAAGAAAUCAAAAUCAUCGGCUGGGUCUGGAAGGUGGUGGAAGGCUUUCAGACAGUACAGUCCCUGAUCCUCACCAGCUGUUUGAUGACCUUGAAGAGUCUUUCAACCUCAUCAAGAAUGCUGUGAUGGCUAGAGACUAAACUCCACAGAAUGUCAUGUAGCAAGGGCUAGGGUCAAUGUAAUUAAUAUAUAUAAUGUUCUGAAAUAAUUGUCUUAAGGUUCCUGCAAUAAUGAUGUUGUAUUAGAUGGCUCUCUACUAAGUAAAAAUGCCUCUCUACUGUAUUUUUAUCUUAAUUCAAGUUCAUAUUUUUUGGACUUUAUUUCAUUUUUAUUUACUGUAUUUUGAUGACUAAUUAUGGGUUCUUUCUAAUUUCAUCUUUUAAUUUUUUAUUCUCCUUUUUUUUUUUUUUUGAUUCCUCAGAUCUUUUGCAGUAUCUUAAUUUUAAGGCUUAAAUUCUACUUCAUUUCAUUAAUUUCUUCCAUAAUUUUUAAUUUUUAUUAUUAUUAAAUAAUUGUAAUAGCAUUAAUAUGAAGUUCUGGGCUGGCUUACAUAAGAACCCAUCUCCUAGUUUAUAUUGAUCCCUACCAUUUUAUUAAUGGAUAUAACUAUCAAAAUGCUUUCAAAACACAUUUGCCAUUUAAAUUAAAAUAUUAAUUAACUUUCUAUAGAAAUAUCUUCAAUAGAGUGUUAGUGACAAAAUGGUAUAAAAAAAAAAAAAAAAAGAAUGUUUUAACAACAAUCACCUUAAAAUCCUUCAUGUGCUACAAAACAAAUUGAUUGGUUUAAUAUUCAUCAUGAAAUUUCAUGUUAAUUAAGCUUUAGCUGAGAUGAUGGAGAAGGGGUCUAAAGUGAAAGGGGGAAAUUGGAUUGGAUCUAUGCUCCUCCUUUUUGCCAUUGUCUUAUACGAUGACCCUUUAAAUUAUAUUCGUCAAACUAAAGCCACAAUCGAUCGAAAGAAGCGUUACCAUGAAGCUAUAUUUACAUUUUUCAUUAUUAAGAUGGUUCUCAAAUUAUUUGGUGCUAAGGUAUGAAAUUCCUUAUCCAUAAUAUUGAAGAUCACCUAGGAAAUUAUUGAUUUUCAAACUCAUGUUCUUAAAUAAUAAUAAUAAUAAUAAUAAUAAAAUCUAAUAUCUAUUUUUUGUUUCUUUCCUUUCUAUUUUCUUCUUGUGAUCUUACCUAGGAUUUUUUAUUUUUUAUUUUUGCAUGGCAAAUAAGUUGCAGCAUUUUUAUACCAUAGAGUUAUAAAUCACACAACAAUGUGCUUCUCAAAUGUAGUUGGACCUAUGGAAUAAAUCGGUUUUUAUGGCCAUCCAAUGGCUUUCCUUGCUCCAAGCGUUUACGGCUAACCUCAUGUAAGUCUAUAUAUAUAUAGUUAUUUGAUUAAAUGGGUUAUUGAAAACUCAAAUUUGGACAAAUGACCUUCAUGGUUUGAAAGUAUGAACUAUGAUCGAGAAAUUAUAUUUGUAUUCAUCAAAUUUUUCUUUACAUUUAUCAUAUUUACACAUUCACUUUAAAAUACUAACUAUAUUAACACAUCACCUACAAAUUUCCAAUAUCAUAAAAACACUCUUCGCAUUCUUCUCUUCUAUACCUAUCUUCUUUUUUUUCUCUAUUAACUUUUUUCUUCUCAAUAAUAAAUCCUAAAAGAAACUAUCUUUUAGGGCUUAUUCUUCAUGUAAAUUUUGACUAAAAAAAUUUGUUCUAGAAACAAUUAGAAAAAAUUUAUAAAAAAUUAGAAAUGAGAAAUCAUGAAAAAGUGCAAAAGAAAUUAUAUUUGGACUGAUUUUUUACUCUGUGUUUUGUGGUAGGGAUUGAUGAUUGAUUUUCAAAGUUAUAUCAAUAAAAUGAUAUUUGUUCUUUCGGUUGAUGAAGAAAUAAUUCCCGAUCCUCACCAAUUAUGUGAUGAUCUUGAAGAGUCACUCAAGUUUAUGUUGACAUUGCAAGAGGGUUUGUCCAUAAAAAUUCCAUAAAAUAAGAAUGAUUAGUACAUGUUACAUCUGUGUGAACUAUGAAGAUCUGUGUGCUCUUAUGGUCAUUUGCAGUUUUAAUAGUAUGUGUUUUAUAAAUCUAAAGUGAAAUGUUUUAUUUUUGAAUAAAUUUUGAACUUUCUAAUGUUAUAUAUAUGUCACAUGCAUGUAUGCUUUGAAAUUUUUAUAUGAGAAUAAGACAUGUGGGUCAUGCCUUGUUCUGGGAAUGGGCCUAACUUGGGCCAGGCUUGGGCUUGAGCCUAACUGGGUCUUAAGUUGGGUUAAUUAGAACGAUGAAGUCAAAGAAUUGCAAAAUUUUGGGUUCCAUGAUAUCUCAAAAUUUCAAGAUAGUUUUUUCCUGAUUCUUACAAAAUUGGGUACAUAUCUACAUAGGUUGUUAGAGAUACUGUGAGGGAUUUGCACCACCUCAAACAAUAUUCUAACUAAAAAUGUCUCGUUCGGAUACACUUUUUCAUUUUUCUUUUUUAGAAACAAAAAGUUUUAAUAAUUUCUAUAUGAAAAUAGAAGUUCUUAUAUAAAAAAGGUAUAUGUUUACCCUGUGUCCUUAUAAUUUAUUUUAAAUAUUUUAAAAUUUUAGAUGAUAAUUUAAAAAAAAAAAAUAGUUUUUAAUUAGUUUUUAAAAGUCAUUGUUUUUUGGUGUAAGUCUCUAAGAUUUUUUAUAUUUAAAAGAAAUAAUAAAUGAUAAAAAUUAUGGUAUAUAUAUAGAGACAGAGAAGAGAAAAUAUAUUAUGCUUAACAUCCCAUUUAAAAUAAUGAUUUAUAUACUCAAAAACAGUUUAAUAUAAUGAUUUAUUUAGCUAAAUAUAUUUAAGAAUAUAAAAAAAUCAUGAUACAGAUAUGAGUACUUUUUAAUUAUUUAAAAAUUUUAUUUACAAGUUUAUACUUUUCUUAUAUUUAAUAUUAAAAUGUUAAUUUAAUUACAAAAAUGAUUAUGUAGUUUGAUAAAUUUAAAAAAAUAAUAAUAAUUUUUUUAUUAGUUUUAAUAUUUUAGAUUAUAAUAAAUUAAUUUUAUGUGCUUUUAUAAAUAUCAAUCAAGUUUAGCUUGGUGGUGAAGUGGCAUGAUAAAAGUUGUUUUCCUUUAUUUUUCAAAUUAUAAAGAAUAAAAUAAUAUAUACAUAUAUAUAUAUAUAUAUAAAUCACCCAACUUUAAAAUUUGAAAUUUCAUUAAAUCCAACCUUUUUCUUUAAUAAUUUUUUAAAACUUCCAUAUUUACCAUUCAUUUUCUUUCUCUUGCAUUUAUUGCGGACCAAACUUGUCAUAAAAUAAGUCAAAUUCGUUUUUGAUCUCUCUAUCCUCUAGCAAUCUCAAAUGGACCCAAGAUUGAGGUCAUUCUAUCAAGGCUUAAAAAUCAACACAAGGACCGACAAAAUGUGUGGACAUUAACAUCGGAAUCAUAAAUAAUCAACUACCUACCUUUCUUAUAUUAAAUAUUGAAUGUCAUAUUAGAAAAUUCUUAAAAUUGAAAAAAUAAAAGUAAAAAUUCAACAUCAUACCUCAGGCUAUGGCCAUCAAAUUCACAAUUUUUGAGAGUAAAUAAAAAACAGAAUAAAAUUAGGGUUUUAUUUGGCUAGUUCUUCUAAGAUCUUAUAUCUGAUGAAAACUUACAAACUUCUUAUAAACUAGAGACUCUUGUCUAUAUAAAGUUUAAUAUAAAUAUGAUAUUUUCUUAUAUUUUCUUUCCAUCAAAGUAAACAAAAUAAAUACCGAGUAAUAGUUACCACUAAAAGUGUGUCAUGACUAUAAAUGAUGGUUACAACACUAAGAGAUGUGUUUGUAUUUAGUGUCACAUAUUUUAAAGAAAAUAAUGUAUUUAAAUUUAAAUUUAAAUAGAACACAAAACUUAAAACAUUUAUUUAUUUUAUUUAAAAUAAAAAAUGUUUCCAACAUGUCACGCACAUGGGAUCCAUGUUGCCAUAAAUUCAUUUCCAAACUAGUUAUGAACCAUGAAUGACAAGUCCUAACUUCACUUCCACCUCCACUUGCUAUGAUACGUUGUCUUCAUGGUAAACAUGAUGACUUCGACGACUAAACAUUGAAAAAGGAUGUUUGUAGGGACCCCUCCCUCUGGGAAACACGUGUCACGCAUCUCAUAGUGACACGUGUUAUCAGCCGGACCAUCAUCAUCCGGAUUCCCCCUAAGGAUACGCAUGAUGCAGUUCUCCUAUCCGGACCGCCUCGAGGAAAGGCAAAUGACGUUUCAGCUUCUCCUAUCCAAGGAAGAGCAAACGUCGCUGGCAGAGCACAGACAUCCGGACAACCUUCAUAAUGCAUCCGCUCCACAAUACAUCCGGGUAAUCAGCAUGUGCCAUCCAGAUAUAAUCGUCCGGAUCAUCAAUUAAAGUAAAGCGAGUCUUACACGCUAUCACAACAAACGGCCAUGGCCCACAUCCUGCCACCUUCAGAGUGAGAAGACAAGAUGAAAUGACAGCAAGUCACCUCCCGCGAUCUCUGACAGCCGCAUCACCUACCAUGGUUUCUGACAGCCGCUCGUAGGGUGAUGAUGCUCCUACUAACGCCUAUUGUCAUCAUAAACAACAUAAAAUAUCUCCUCACCAUUAAUGAGAGGAACAGUACCCCUGAAGCUGUAUAUAUAUGCCUUCACACGAAGAAGGAAGGGAUCCCACUGGUAACCUCCUAAUACCUGGUAAAAGGCCAACUGAUUUAUAUCUCUCUCUCUGACCAUGGCUAACAAAACCAUCGGAGGGUGCGUCCGGACACCUUGUCCGGAUGCCUUCUUGCAGGUAUAACGACUGGAUCAAGAACCUUUAUGGGUUGAAAUCACGUGUCCAUCCAUUUGGCAACUACGUGGAUCGUCAGAGACGCGAGGUAUCAACAUUGGCACCGUCUGUGGGAACUUUUUACUUUGAUUCAGUCACUAAAAAAGAUGGUCACACCGUCCCGAAGCCAUUCAUCUGGUAGGGGAGGGGAUGAUAAUUUUGAAUGGCGCCUAGCCAUCGAAAGGAGACAGUUGGCAAGCGAAAGACAGCUGAAAGCUCUCCUCCAGGAGACAGAAAGAUUGAGAGAAGAAAACGCUGUGUUACGCAUCCAGGCUUCAACAUCAGGACCUCCUCGACGUCAGCGUUCGAGGGGCCAAGUAGCAGACUCAAGUCCUCAACAAGAACCAGAAUCAAUACAUCCUGGGACAACAGGAGCUAUCCCAGGAGCAUGCAACGUAAGACCUCAUGAGCCACGCACGCCUAUGCCUCGAGCUCCCCGUGAGGAAAGCUCAGACUCUACUCACUUUUCAGCGAAAAGACAACGUGAUAAAAAAUCUCAGUUGUCGAACUCAAUGCGCGCAAGACUAGGCCCACAAGAGCCUGGAAGAUCAAGGCCACCAAUGGCCAUAACCUGGGCACCACGCCCUGACCCUGUGACCACUCCCAUGGUGCAAAACGUUCACCCGCAUCGUGACCCCUUAGUCACCCCCGUGAUGCGGAAUGUUCAUUCGCACCCAGCGGAACAACCAACUGGGAGAAACAUCCCAAAUGGGCCACCCAUUGGCUCUAUUAGCAAAAGGUUGGAUGACAUGCUCUCCACGCCUUUCUGCUCUCAUAUCAUUAAUUACGAGCCCCCAAGGGGAUUCCUCGUACCAAAUUUUUCCACAUACGAUGGAACCAACGAUCCCUUUGAUCACAUCAUGCAUUAUCGACAGCUUAUGACGCUCGAUAUUGGCAACGAUGCACUGCUAUGCAAAGUAUUUCCCGCCAGCUUACAAGGACAGGCCCUCUCAUGGUUUCAUCGCCUACCUCCCAACUCCGUUGGCGAUUUCAGGGACCUGUCCGAAGCUUUCGUGGGGCAAUACUUGUGCUCCGCACGACACAAGCAAAAUAUCAGCACCCUGCAGAAUAUAAAAAUGCAAGAUAACGAAUCCUUGAGGGAAUUCAUGAAGCGAUUUGGCCCGGCCGUGCUUCAAGUAGAGGCUUGUAGUAUGGAUGCUGUCCUACAGAUUUUCAAGCGAAGCAUCUGUCCGGGCACUCCAUUUUUCGAAUCACUGGCCAAAAAACCCCCUACAACGAUGGAUGACUUAUUCAGGCGCGCCAACAAAUAUUCAAUGCUCGAAGAUGACGUACGCGCAGCCACCCAGCAAGUUUUGGUUGCCGGACGGCCAUCUAGAAAUAAUACGGAGGGAAAUAAUAAACCUCCGGAUCGGCCAAAGCCGUCUGACCGAAAGCAGGAAGGGUCAAGUCGCCCGGAAAUGCCGCCUCUCACACCUCUUUCCAUAUCAUAUGAGAAACUUCUCCCAAAGAUCCAGGGCUUGUCCGACUUCAGAUGGCCUAGACCCAUUGCAACGGACCCAUCCACAAGAGAUCGCAGUAAGAGAUGUGCCUUCCACAAGGAUCAUGGCCAUACAACAGAGACAUGUCGAUCUUUCCAGUUUCUGGUCGAAAGGCUCAUAAAAGCAGGGCAUUUGAAGCAAUACCUCCGAUCAGAUAAUGGAGGAAGGGACGCAUCCCAACAUCACAACCCCGGAGCCCCUAGGGCCCCAGCUGCCCCCAAGGCCGUUAUAAAUUAUAUUAACGGGGGUCCAUCUGACGAGGAGUACGAUUCUAGGCGAAAGAGGCAAAAAUUGUUGUGGGCCGCAUCAAUACGCGAGCGCAUCAAUUCCAUCCGGCCUGGGCUAACGGGAGGGGGCCCUCGCCCCAUAGAUGGGACAAUCAUUUUCCCACCGGUAGAUCCCACCCGGACACUGCAACCACAUCGCGACGCCCUCAUCUUGUCCCUGGAAAUUGGGGACUUCGAUGUGCGGCGUAUCUUGGUUGACCCAGGCAGUUCAGCCGAUCUUGUGCAAGCAUCAGUCGUUGGCCACAUGGGACACAGCCUCACAGGCCUCGAAAACCCUGGACGAAUCCUAUCCGGAUUCAACGGGUCUUCAACUACGUCCUUAGGAGACAUUGUACUGGCGGUCCAAGCAGGCCCAGUCACUCUCAACGUACAGUUUUCAGUAGUACAGGAGUUAUCACCCUUCAAUGUCAUUUUGGGGCGCACAUGGCUCCACUACAUGAAAGCUAUCCCCUCUACAUAUCAUCAAAUGGUGAGUUUUCUCACCAACCAUGGCCAAAUCGACCUAUAUGGCAGCCAAUUAGCCGCUCGCCAAUGCUAUCAGAUAGCGCGGGAAGCAGGGGUCAACCAGGAGGAUGCGUCUCCCCCUGAACCCAGCAUUGCACAUGACCAAUAGCAAUUAUUGGAUCCGGCGGACAAAGAUCCCCCGGCAGCAGAUCCCUUACAAACAAUCCAAAUUUCGGAGGAAAACACUCACCUCACGAACAUCAGUUCCCUCAUGACACAAGAGGAAACUCAGAGCAUGCAAAGUAUUCUCAGACGAAACCAUGACAUCUUCGCAUGGACACAUUCUGAUAUGAAGGGAAUCCAUCCCUCUAUUGCAUCUCACAGGCUUAACGUCUUUUCAACUGCCAGACCCGUCCGGCAGAAAAUUAGGCGUUUUCACCCAGAUAGACAAAAAGUCAUCCGGGAUGAGAUGGACAAAUUGCUCGAAGCCGGAUUCAUCAGAGAAGUUUCUUAUCCGGAGUGGUUGGAAAAUGUAGUGGUGGUACCCAAAAAAGAAGGAAAGUGGCGAGUUUGUGUAGACUAUACCAAUCUCAACAAUGCAUGUCCAAAAGACAGUUUUCCUUUGCCUCGAAUAGAUCAGAUUGUGGAUUCCACUUCCGAGCAAUGGAUGCUCUCUUUCUUGGAUGCCUUCUCCGGAUAUCAUCAAAUCCCCAUGUCCCCGGACGACGAAGAAAAAACAGCAUUCAUAACACCACACGGCCUCUAUUGCUACAAAGUCAUGCCGUUCGGACUCAAAAAUGCUGGUGCCACUUAUCAAAGAUUGAUGACUAAGAUCUUCGAACCUCUAAUAGGCCACACGGUAGAGAUAUAUAUUGAUGAUAUCGUGGUUAAAAGCAAAACCCGAAAGCAGCAUGUCCUUCACUUACAAGAAGUUUUUCACCUCUUACGAAAGUAUGGCAUGAAGCUAAAUCCUUCUAAAUGCACCUUUGGCGUAAGUGCUGGCAAAUUUCUGGGAUUUAUGGUCAGCCAAAGGGGCAUAGAAGUCAGCCCAGAUCAAGUCAAAGCAGUCAUGGAAACACCCCCUCCCAGGAACAAGAAGGAGCUACAACGCCUCACAGGCAAGCUCGUCGCACUAGGGCGUUUUAUAGCCCGCUUCACUGACGAACUGCGACCCUUCUUCUUGGCAAUACGAAAAGCUGGAGCACAUGGAUGGACGGACAGUUGCCAGAACGCUUUCGAAAAGAUUAAGUAUUGUCUUACGCAACCGCCCAUCUUGAGCAGCCCCGUUCCAAAUGAGAAAUUGUAUAUGUAUCUGGCGGUAUCAGAAUGGGCAAUCAGCGCCGUUCUAUUUCGCUGCCCCUCACCCAAGGAGCAGAAGCCUAUCUACUACGUCAGCAGGGCGUUAGUAGACGUAGAAAUCAGAUAUUCAAAAAUGGAGCUAACAGCCUUAGCCCUUCGAAGCGCUGCCCAGAAGCUCCGCCCGUAUUUCCAAGCUCAUCCAGUGAUCGUACUAACUGACCAGCCCCUUCGCAACAUUCUGCACAAGCCAGAUUUAACCGGGAGAAUGCUGCAAUGGGCCAUUGAACUAAGCGAAUUUGGAAUCGAAUUCCAACCCAGAUUGGCCAUGAAAGGCCAAGUAAUGGCUGACUUCGUGCUAGAAUAUUCCUGAAGGCUCAGCCAACAUGACGAAUCAAGUAAAAAAGAAUGGUGGACUCUGCGAGUUGACGGAGCCUCACGCUCAUCAGGCUCUGGAGUUGGGCUCUUACUACAGUCCCCAACUGGGGAACAUUUGGAGCAAGUCAUCCGGCUGGGAUUCCCUGCCUCUAAUAAUGAAGCAGAAUAUGAGGCUAUCCUGUCCGGAUUGGACCUCGCCCUUGCUCUAUCCAUCUCCAAACUCCGGAUCUUCAGCGACUCACAACUCGUGGUAAAACAUGUCCAGGAGGAAUAUGAGGCUAAGGACGCACGCAUGGCGCGAUACUUAGCUAAAGUAAGAAACACCUUGCAGCAAUUCACCGAAUGGACAAUCGAAAAAAUCAAGCGAGCUGACAAUAGGCGCGCUGACGCUUUGGCCGGUAUAGCUGCCUCCCUCCCUAUCAAAGAAGCCAUUCUAUUGCCCAUACAUGUGCAACCCAACCCCUCUGUUGCAGAAAUUUCUACUUGCAACACCAUUGAGGCAAAUCAAGCGGAUGAUCAAGAAUGGACGUAUCACAUCGCAGAAUAUCUCCGGACAGGCACUCUGCCCGGAGAUCCCAAACAAGCACACAAAAUCCGGGUACAAGCUGCCCGUUUCACCCUGAUUGGGGGGCACCUGUACAAGCGAUCCUUCAUAGGACCUUACCUUCGGUGCCUAGGGCAUUCAGAGGCCCAGUAUGUGGUAGCUGAGUUACAUGAGGGAAUAUGCGGAAAUCAUUCGGGAGGACGAUCUCUGGCACAUAGAGCUCAUUCGCAAGGAUACUAUUGGCCAACAAUGAAGAAAGACGCGGCAGCAUAUGUUAAAAAAUGUGAUAAAUGUCAACGGUAUGCUCUCAUUCCACAUACGCCAUCAGCAACAUUGAAAACAGUCUCAGGCCCAUGGCCCUUUGCGCAGUGGGGCAUGGACAUAGUGGGACCCCUCCCAGCAGCACCUGCCCAGAAGAAAUUUCUCCUUGUUGCCACUGAUUACUUUAGUAAAUGGGUAGAAGCUGAAGCAUAUGCAGGCAUCAAAGACAAAGAUGUCACCAAGUUCGUGUGGAAGAACAUUGUUUGCCGUUUUGGAAUCCCCCAAACCAUCAUAGCUGACAAUGGUCCACAAUUUGACAGUAUUGCAUUCAAGAAUUUCUGUUCGGAGCUGAACAUCCGGAAUUCAUACUCCACACCACGAUAUCCUCAAAGUAAUGGGCAAGUAGAAGCCACAAACAAGACCCUAAUCAAUGCCCUAAAGAAAAGGCUUGAGCAAGCUAAAGGGAAGUGGGUGGAGGAGCUACCCGGCGUCCUAUGGGCCUAUCGAACCACACCCGGACGACCAACAGGAAACACUCCUUUCGCCCUCACGUAUGGAAUGGAUGCAGUCAUUCCUACAGAAAUAGGUCUUCCUACUAUCCGGACUGACGCAGCAAAGCAAGAUGAUGCAAGCGCGGAAUUAGGGAGAAAUUUAGAUUGGGCAGAUGAAGUGAGGGAAAACGCGGCCAUUCGGAUGGCAGAUUAUCAACAAAGGGCAUCAGCACAUUACAAUCGCAAAGUGAGGCCAAGAAGCUUCAAAAAUGGUACACUAGUCCUUAGAAAAGUUUUUGAAAAUACUACUGAAGUGGGUGCAGGGAAAUUCCAAGCCAACUGGGAAGGACCCUAUAUAGUGUCUAAGGCAAAUGACAAUGGAGCCUGUCAUUUACAAAAAUUGGACGGAACUCCAUUACUUAGACCUUGGAAUGUGUCUAAUUUAAAGCAGUACUAUCAAUGAAAAAGCAGAGACAAGUGCAAAUGAAAAAGAACUAUUUUUAUUGAUAUGGAUAAAUGUAUGAACAAAGAGGUCUCCGGACCACAAAAAUACAAAAGGAAGAUUACAGCAGAAAAUUGCAAAAAGAGAUAAACUAUCAUGGAGCAGGCUUCUCAUAGAGCUUCUUUUCUUCACCCGGAGGAAUUGAAGGGACGUCCCGCUUGAUGUCGUUCUUCUUCAUGCAGCACCGAUACCCAAAGAUGAAUGUAUCAUCCACUUGUUUUUGGUAUUCUGCUUCAAGUUCCUCCCUCUCUACAGCAAACUCCCGUUCUAGCUCCUCUUUUUGUGCAACCAAGCGCAGCUGCAAAUCUUCCCUCUGUUUCUUUUCGAUAGAAACCUCUGUCCGGAGGUGCCUCACCUCCCCCUUCAGUCGGGCUAUCUCAUCCUCUGCCUCAUGCAAACGGGCAAUCAAUGAUUCCUCCCGGUCCUUAGCCUCAGCUAAUUCCACCCGAAGGACUUCAUUGUCCUCUCGAGCAGUGGAUAAGCUGGUUUCAGCCUCCGCCAGUCUCAGGCGCAACUGAUCUUCAACAUCUUUGCGCCGAGAGGCGAAGAUCUUCAUAUAAUCAGUGGUCCGCAGCAGGUCAGAAAAGAGAUCGUGUUGUUUGGCCAUGCCGCGGAGACCACUCACCAGCUGACACGUAAGCAAAGCAAAGUUAUAAAUCAUACCACAACAACACAUCAAAAUAGCAAAAGAAUCAAAAAAGCACGAAAAACAGUUUACCGUUUCCACCGUCUCGAACAUCUGGGCUGAGGGCAUGAUGUCAGGCGAGCCGGGUGGAAUUUGUUUCAGCUUAUCUUCCAACUCCGCAUAGCUAAAAGAGCUAUCGGAGGAGCAAGAUGCGUCAUUAACAGGUCCCCCCCCGGAUGAAGCAGCAGAAGGUGAUUUUUGUUCCGGAUAAGGGGCCUCAACAUUUACGGCCGGAUGGACCUCCCCGGGUGCAACCUCAGCCGGGACCACCAUCCAGACGACUGGAGUCUCAAUUACCAUCUCCACUUCGCCCCCCUCCAGAUGAGCGUCGUGGACAGAUGAGCAACUAACUUCAAUCUCUUGCUGCCGCUCUUGAAGCCGCCCGUGGAGUCCGGACCUCAGAUUGCGCACCGAGCGAGGCCUCUUUGAGGGUGGCCCCGUCACCAGAACAAGAGCCAGGCGGUCCGGAUCGUCAGAGGGCUGACUCUGACUUUCCGCCCCAGCUUCCUCCAUCGGGUCCGCGCAAACGGCUUCAACUGCAUCAACACCCGAAGUAGGGGAGUCCGGAUGGUUGAUGGACGCAGCUUCCUCAGCCAAAUUUGCCGGACGGGCAACCGCUGCCAAAGAGGUGCUUGAGUGAUUCAGCCCCGCGAUGUGUCCGGACCCGCUUGAGAUAGAAUGAGGAGCGGGGUUCACUGGCUCCUCUAUCAUUACCUCCGCCUCGUGAGUAAUGAGCGGAUGAGCAAAUUCCAUGGGAGGAGUGGGCUCCCUCACUCCCUUCCCAUUCUUCACCAGCUUCCUCCUUUUUGCUGGAGUUUUCUUUGGAGGAGAGUCUGCGUCGCGUUUCUGUCCGGGAGCCUUGCGAAGGGUUCCUUCGUUUUUCUUCUUCUCCCGAUUGACCAGAAGCGCUCGGCGUUUUUCAACGUCAGCCUCUUUUGACGCCUGGUAAAUCGGGAGAUCCUUCACAAUAUAAUGCUCCCCAGGCACUACCUCCUUUGGCAUCUUCCUGGGGAGAAUGUUGAUGACGUACUCUUGGGACUCCCGGACGACCGCCAUUAGGUUCCGCGCAAUCAGCAACGUCUUGCACUGCCUCUCCUUGGCGUCUAUCUCAAAAAGCUUGCUGAGACAGCCAAAAGACGCCUUUUCCACCCAAUCCACGAGGUGGCCCCUUUUUUCCGCACCUGCAUUAACAGCAACAGAGGUUGAGAAUACCAUCCGGAGAGAUCAACAAGAAAACAACAAGGUAAAAAUCAGGACAGAAGUCGCAAAGCAAACUUACCCGGAAUCUUGAAGGAAUAGUUUGGAGAAAAGGGCCUCGCCGGAUGCCUCGACCCCGCCCACGUACCCCGGACCAUCACCCGUCCCUUUGCCCCUCCCUUCGUCGAGUCGGGCAGUUCCGUCACCAAUUGAAGGGAAGGCAGGUGCGCGGACAGGCUGAAGAUGUCAGCUUUCGCCUUCUUCAGUGAGUAGACGAAGAACACCUCCAGCAUUGUAAGGUCGAGGUUGUACAGCAUGUUGAUGAUGCUGCAUCCCAUCAGCACCCGGAUAAUAUUGGGAUGAAUGAAGACGGGUGGAAUCUUAGUGAAAUGGAGAAACUCCAUGAGCAACGCUAGCAGGGGGAACCGGAGCCCUGCAUUGAAUUGUUCCUUGCAGAAGACGAUAGCACCUUGUUCGGCUUUCUCAGUAGGCACCACGUCCUCCCCAUGAAGAAAUUCAACAAUUACGCCAUUUGGAAUGCAGAAUCGAUCUCGAAACUCCUUCAUGCUCAACUUGUCUAUGGACUUUUCAUAAGCGUCGCCAACUCGCGCAGAUGAAGCACCUUUCUUCUUUGAAGACAUUUUUCAGGCCAAAAUUGAACCAAAACCUACAUACGAGAAAUGCAACAGUCAAACACAGCCAAAACAACCCCACAAACCCUACACAAUAACAACACUCAGAAAACCUCGCACCACCAGUAUACCCAUUCCAAAAUCCUUGACUUUACCCCAACAAAAAACCCCCCAGAGCACCAACAAAUGCCAACAUUCAAACAAACAGUCGUAAGCAACUUACCCAAACAAAACCCAAACAAAUCAGAAACCAAGAUCAAAGAACCAACAAACGCAACAAAAGGAACAACAAUAGCAAAAGUCUACGUACCAAAUGAAGCCCUGAAGGAGAAAGGUUGUUGUCUCGAUACAAAAUUACCAGCAGCAAACGAAUGUCGCGACACAAAAUCACCGGUACAAAAGAGCUUUCGAGUUUCUUUACUCAGAGAAGCAAAGGACACAAUAGAAGUAGGAAGAAGAAAGGCUCUCAAGGGAAUACAGUAGAAAAAAUGCAAAAAGAAGGUACAGUGCGCUAUUUAUAGGAGGACAGGCCCUCGGAAAGCCAAACGUCCAAACAAAUGCCAUCAUUGAAAUGACAUAUUGCCUGGGGAUACACAGGGUCGGCGGCUCAUCAUAAAAGCCUUUUUUGGCUUCCGCACCCCCACUCGCCACGUGGCCCAGUCAAACGAAGAGACCUCUUCAGUUUUCAAAAAGGCCAGUUAUUUUUUAACCCGCCCAUUUUUUGGCAAAAUAGGCAAGUUAAAAAGGGGGGCAAUGUAGGGACCCCUCCCUCUGGGAAACACGUGGCACGCAUCUCACAGUGACACGUGUUAUCAGCCGGACCAUCAUCAUCCGGAUUCCCCCUAAGGAUACGCAUGAUGCAGUUCUCCUAUCCGGACCGCCUCGAGGAAAGGCAAAUGACGUUUCAGCUUCUCCUAUCCAAGGAAGAGCAAACGUCGCUGGCAGAGCACAGACAUCCGGACAACCUUCAUAAUGCAUCCGCUCCACAAUACAUUCGGGUAAUCAGCAUGUGCCAUCCGGAUAUAAUCGUCCGGAUCAUCAAUUAAAGUAAAGCGAGUCUUACACGCUAUCACAACAAACGGCCAUGGCCCACAUCCUGCCACCUUCAGAGUGAGAAGACAAGAUGAAAUGACAGCAAGUCACCUCCCGCGAUCUCUGACAGCCGCAUCACCUACCAUGGUUUCUGACAGCCGCUCGUAGGGUGAUGAUGCUCCUACUAACGCCUAUUGUCAUCAUAAACAACAUAAAAUAUCUCCUCACCAUUAAUGAGAGGAACAGUACCCCUGAAGCUGUAUAUAUAUGCCUUCACACGAAGAAGGAAGGGAUCCCCCUGGUAACCUCCUAAUACCUGGUAAAAGGUCAACUGAUUUAUAUCUCUCUCUCUGACCAUGGCUAACAAAACCAUCGGAGGGUGCGUCCGGACACCCUGUCCGGAUGCCUUCUUGCAGGUAUAACGACUGGAUCAAGAACCUUUAUGGGUUGAAAUCACGUAUCCAUCCAUCUGGCAACUACGUGGAUCGUCAGAGACGCGAGGUAUCAACAAUGUUCACGUUGUGUCUUAAGGGCAUCUUGCUUUAUCAAAUAUUUAAUUUAUGUACUAUCAUUUUGAUAGACAUUAAAAUUAAUUAUUUCAAAAAAAAAAAAUCGGUAGAAAAUUUCCCAAACCAUAAUGCUCGAGAGAGUUACACCACAUAUUUGUAGCUUAGGACCACGGGGUCUCACAAGUCAUAUCCAUAAAGUUUUUGUACUUGAUUUGUCUAUUUGGCCACCAAACAUACAGAAAUUGUAGCUCAUAUUUACUAGUUUAAUUAAAGUGGCAUUUAUUUUUUAUUUUUGUCAUGGACUAUGUACUAGGAAUCGAUGCUGGAUUCCUACUGCAUCAUUUCUUAAGUAUGAUACUUGGGUCAUGGACAACAACUUUGUUUUAGAGUUCUAAUGAGUUAGAAGCCCAUUUAACAAGUCGGAUUAAUUUCCCAUACGAUUUAUAAGUAAUCUAUUACUUGAAAAUUAUCGACUUAUUUUGUUCUUGAGUAAUUACUCAAGGGUGCAUUAAGUGGUAGAUUUAACAUUACGCUUAGAGAGAAAAUAUGUUGAUGGCUUCUAUAUAGGAUGAGAACAAAACAAGUUUGGGAUGAGUCAUCCCAUCUCAACUUGGUUUUAAUCAUUUAAAUUUAUUCUUGUCCUCCUCCCUAAAAAUAAAUUUAAUAAAGCACCUUAAGGCCAUUUACCCUUUUUCAAUUUUGUAAUUUUAAUUACAUUAAAAUAAAUAUAAUUCAUAACUAAAUAGUAUAAUUUUUACAAUUUAUAUGAAUUUUUUGUUUUAAUUAUGAUAAAAAGAGGGAAAAUAAAAAAAAAUAUUAAUAGUUUUUAUUUAGUUAUAUAUAUAUAUAUAUAUAUAUAUAAACUAGGUGUAACGAGACAAUACAAUAUCUAAACCCAUACAAAAGCCCCUACCCAAUGACAUUUAUCUUUAUCUCAAAUCGAUUCUAUUAAGAGUGGAUACCUGAAAUAAAACCCGCUUCAUUGACAUCCAUAACACAAAUAUAUAUAUAUAUAAACAAAGUGGAGCGAGGUGAAACAAUGCAAUAUCAUCCGAACCCACACCAAAUGGAGUUUUAAAGAAAAAUCUCAAAACUUCUACCUAAGGCAUUUAUCUUUAUCUCGAAUUGAUCUUAUUAGGGAUGGAUGCCUGAAAUAAAACAUGUCUCAUUGACAUCAAUAUUUCCACUAUAAUGUAUCUCUUUGGAUGUUUUAAAAUAAAAUAAAAGACAAAAAAUUGGAAAAGUAAAUUAAGAGAAAAAUUAAAAUAAAUAUCAAAAAAAUAAACUAGUAAAAAAAUAAAAAAUAAACCGAAAAAGAAGUUGGAAAAAAAUUUUAAAACAAAAGAUAAAACUCUUUGCAACUCCUUAAUGCAAUUUUAUGUUUUAUGUAUAUAGACCAAUUUGUUUUAUAAUUUUAUACUAACUUGAAAGGGACUACUCUAAAAGGAAGGACACUCGAUUAAAGUCAAUACAUCCCACCGAGACAGAAAUCAAAAUGGAGUCGCAUUCACUCAAUCAAAGACAAUUUAAUUCGAUCCAUUUAACCAUGGUCGUGAGAAAGUCAUAGAUAUACUCCUAAAAAAUAAGUGGAUACUAACUCCUCAUGUCCACAUCUAUCUAGUUGUAAUUAAGUUAAGGUAACUCAUUGAAAAAAUAAAUAAACUUAGGAGUGUUUGAUAUAGGGGGAAUAAGGAAUGAAAAUGAAUAUUUUAUUUCUAUUUCUAUUUUUUGGUAAAUGAAAAUAAAUUUAGUGAUUGCAUUUUUAGAGUUUGUAUGAAUUUAGGAAUUCAAUAUUUAAAUUAUUAUUUGUUUCCAUUCUAAUGAAAAUUAAAAAAAAAAAUUAACAAUAAUACCCUUAUAUAGUUUAAAAUAAAAUAAAAAAUUCAUUUUUUUAAAAUAAAUUUUGAGAGUUCUUUUUUCUUAAUAAUAAAACUAAAAAAAAAAAGUCUUAUUAUGGGAUAAAGAAAUAUCAUAACUUGAUGAAUGAAAUGGAAGGAUAAAAUAGUAAUAUUACUUUUUAUCUAUGUACUUUCUCUCCCUUUAGAUUGAAAAUAAAACCAAAAACAAAGAAAAUGUCUCAAACAACUAAAGUCCUUAAAAUUAACCUUAUCUUAAUCUACAAAAAAAAUUCCUAGAAGUCCUAAUAUGAUGAACCAAAAUUAUAAACCUUAUUUCCUGUCAAAUCCAAACUCAUCUAUAAUCCAUGAACUUCACCAUUUCUAAAGCCUACACUCUUUAAACCACCUCACUUUUUCGAGGUUUGUUUAUAGGCAAAAAAAAUAAAAAAAUGUCUCAACUUUUCCUACAAGAUGUUUGUCUUUGGAGGAAAAAAAACUCUCAAAUAAUAAUAAUAAUAAUAAUAAUAAUAAUAAAGGUGUUAAAAGGAAAAGAAACAUUUACCUAGGGGAAUCAUAUCAAUUGGUGUUAUUAACAUAACAAGUGAAAUGAUCAUUUUGGGAAUAAUUAUAUGACUCACAAAACAAUACAUAUAUUUAAAAAAUUUGUUGUUCUUUUCUCCAUAUUUUUUCAAAUUAGUAAUUAAAGACCCAUUUUUCCCAUUAUUUAUUCUUGUCUUUGUGGAUUGUUUUAAAAAUAAUUAUAAAAAUAAGGAGAAUGAUUGAUUAAAAAUAAAGCAUUAGAAAUAAAAUUUAUUUUUAAUAAAUAUUUGGAAACAUAAAAAACAAGUUGAGAAUAUUCUAAACUCCCAAACAUAUUUUUGUUCUAGAAAAAAAAAAUCAUAAAACUAUUUUAAAAAUUGUCCCUAUAAACCAGUUUUUUAGAACAAGUUUCUAAAACAUUACUAAAUAUAUCCUUAAUUUUCCUAUUGAAAUGCCCACGUCCCAACUCAACUCUGUGACAUAAAGUAUAAUAAAUUUAGAAAUAUAUUUUAAAGUAUUAUAUUUUAAGAAGCAUUUUUAAGAUUUGCUAUAUUUGUUUGUACUAUAAUUUAUAUCUCAAAUUACUCACAUAUUCUUGAAUGGUUUCCAUAUAUUUAUUUAGAAAGCAUUAUAACUUUAGUUCUUUUAACAAUGUGUAUUGCUAAUAUUGUAAUCAUAUACUUGAAGAUAUUAUUAUCUAAUAAAAUUUUAAAGGAUAUAAUAUAUAUAAGGACUUGAAAGAAUAUUCUUGAGAAGUUUGCAUGUAUCUAAUUUGAAAUGAAAAUGAAACUCACUUUACAAUUGAUGACUCAUCCUCAAAUGAGAAAAGUUAAUUCCGGGAAUUGAUGACUCAUUACCCAUUCCCUUCAUUUCAUUAUAUUAAUCAACAAACCCUACGUAAACCAAUUCAUGCCCUUAUGUGGUUUUGGGCAUUUUUUAUAAUUAAAACGUGGCAUGAAAGUUUGGUAUGGUGGUUGGGGGUUAUCAUAAAUUUGAAAGGGAUGCCCAGGUUCCGUCCAAAACUUAGACGACUUGUUCAAUGACCGUCCACAUAUAACUCAAAAAUUCCAUCACUAAUCUUUUGUGGCAAAACCCUCAAAUCCUUUCUUUUUUUUAAUAAAUUUAUAUGGCCUCCAUCAUUAAUCCAAAAUUCAAUUUGAAAUUUGAUUCUAGAAAAAAGUAAUAUGACUUCUCGUCCUUAAUCCUAAAUUCAAUGUGAAAUUCGAUUCUGGAAAAAGGCAAUAUGACUUCUAGUCCUAAACUCAGGUUGAUCCUAUAAAUAGGAGCACAGCCAACGAUGGUGGAGGCACGCCAUCUUUCGAUUUCUCUUCUUCUGUUGUUUUUCAUUUUGAAAUCAGCUAGCACCAUGGAAACCCUAGAAGGUUUGAAGCACGCACUUAAGCCUAUUAGAAUUGUGCCUAAAGAAGGUGAUGAAAAGGGAAUGGUGGUUAAGCGUCAUGAUCAGGAAGAUCAUCAGCCAUUGAGUCCAAUGGCUCGUUUGUUUCAUGAACCUGACUGCAAUCUCUAUGUUAUCGCCAUGAUAGGCUCGAAAACUCGCAUCGACCCUGACGUGGUUAAAGCCAACCUGGUGCAUAGUCUCCUUAAACACCCUCGUUUCUUUAGUCUGCAGGUAAGGAAUGAACUUUCCAUUUAGUAAUUUAAAGCUACAUUGAACAUUUUUGAACUAAAAUGCAGCGGUAUUAUUCCAAAAGGCAUUGUGAAAUUUUUCAGUAUUAUUAAUCUAUUUCCAUUGUUUGCUAACCAUUAAAUCAUCUUCAAAAUCAGGUUAUGGAGGAGGAAAAGGGAGGAGAGAUGAAAUGGGUUCCGACAAAAGUUGAUUUGGAAAAGCACGUUAUAGUUCCAGACAUGUGUUCCGACAUGGAAACAUCAUCAGAUAAGUACGUGGAAGACUACAUUUGCAACCUCACUAAAACAACCCUAGACUUUUCCAAGCCAUUAUGGGACCUUCAUCUCCUCAACGUCAAAACCUCCGACGCCGAGGCCGUCGCCGUUUUCAGGAUUCACCACUCCCUCGGCGAUGGCACGUCUCUCAUGUCUCUUUUACUUGCAUGCACACGCAAAGCCUCGGAUCCCACGGCUCUGCCUUCGGUUCCCAUGAUGAAGAAACCAAAAUCAUCGGCUGGGUCUGGAAAGUGGUGGAAGGCUUUCAGACUGGUUUGGAAUACGAUCAUCGAUGUUUUGAUGGUGAUCGCCACAGUGUUGUUCUUGAAGGACAGAGACACGCCUCUUAGGGGUCCGCCCAAUGUUGGAUCCACAGGACGGAGAAUUAUUCACAGGACGAUUAGUCUGGAGGAUGUUGUGAUGAUAAAAAAUGCAAUGAGCACUGUAAGUCAACUUGUUGCAUGCAUGGAAAACAAAUACAUGUUUUGCAACUGUUUUAAAAAAAAAAAACAAUUUUCUGUUUUUCAAAUAAAAUAAAUAGAAAAACAGUUUAGAUAAUAAUAAAAAAAAUAGAAAAUGAGGUAUUUUCAAGAAACAACUUUUAAUUAUUUUUAUUUUCAUUUGUUUUUGUGAUAAUUGUUUUCAAAAAUAAUUAUAUAAAUAUAAAUAAUGAUUAAAAAUUAAAAGCACAAGUUAUUUUCAAAAAUAUAUUUUAAAAUAUAGAAAUUAAGAAUAUUCUAGAUUCAUUCCCGAAUAAAAAUUAUUUUCCAUAAAUGUUUAUGAAAAACACUUAUCAAACAAAGCUAUGAUUUUUUCUUUUUUGGACUAUGCCCCAUAAUUUUUUUAUUUUUUAAAGCAAAGAAAUACAAAGCUUUUUUACUUUACGAUCACUUCAAUGAAAGAGUGGGUAAUCAUAUAUUUGAAGAAGUUUAUAACUCCUCUCUCAAUCAUUAGUGGAGAGAUUAAGAACUAAAAUUUUUCUAGCUCUCAUGUGCAGACUGUUAAUGAUGUUAUGGUGGGAAUCACACAGGCUGGUUUGUCUCGGUACCUCAAUAGGCGAUAUGGUGAGCUCCUAUUUUAAUUUUCAAAAUUCAUAUAUUAAGUGGUGAAGAGUAAUUAUAAUACACCACCUAGCUACUCUCUCUAUGUAUAAAAGGAUGUUAUAAAGCUUGUAUGCUCACAUGGUAGCUGAAGGCAAGAAGAAUAAAGGGGCAACGUACAGAAAAGAAAAAUAAUCUUCCCAAGAACCUUUCUAUCAGAGCAACUCACUUCAUUAACAUAAGACCAUCUGCAGGGAUCCAUGUGGGUGUUUCUACUUUCUUUAUCAACCCCUCGUGAAGGAAUUAGUUAAUUUCUCUUUGGGAAGUGUUUUCAAAAAAUGAAACACAGUUUUUGAAAACGGUUAUUUGAUAUUUUAUAAAAUAAAAGUUUGUUUAAAAAUCUGAAAUUAAUGUUAUUUACGUUUUCUAUAUUUUUAAAUAUGUUUUAUUAUUAAUCGAUCUCCAUAUUUUUAUAAUUAUUUAUUAAAUAGUUCUUAAAAAAUAUUUUUUGAAAACACUUCAUUUUUAAAUAAUUGUUUUAUUUAAAUUUGUUUUCAAAAUUUAAAAAUUAUUUUAAAAUCAAUUAUCAAACAAGUCUUUAAUUUCUUGUCUCAUGCAUGUAUACAUUCAUAUCGUACAGACCUUAGCUGAAAUGAUGGAGAAAGGCUCUGAAGCGAAAUGGGGCAACUGGAUUGGCUGUCCUUCUUCCUUUAUCCAUUGCAUUACGUGACAAUCCUUUAGAUUACAUUCAAAAAGCUAAGGAAGCUAUGGAUAGAAAAAAAGCCUCUCUUGAAGCUCUCUACAUACAUUCCAUGGCUAAGUCAAUUCCCAACUUAUUUGGCACUAAGGUAUGAAUUAAUAUCACUCAACCCUACCUUGUUUCCUCAAAAUUAAGUACUUCUAGCUUAAUUAAUAUCACUGUCUAAUAAACAAUUAAAAGUGGUAUAUAUAGACUCACUUCUUUCAUUGGUAAACAGACCGGAAGUGUUCUAUGCCUCAAAGUCCCCUCUCGUACGGCAAUAUGGUUCUCAAAUGUAGUUGGACCCCAAGAAGAAAUUGCCUUCUUUGGCCAUCCAAUAGCCUACAUUGCUCCAAGUUGUUUUGGUCAACCCAAUGUAAGUCUUCUUAAACUUUAUUUGACAAUGUUUUAAAAAAUGCUUUAGCCUAUAAAAUGUUUUACAAAAAAAAAUUAAAAUUUAGAAAUCACUUUCAAAAAGUUAAAAAGUCACUUAUAGAUAUUUUCGAAGAAAUAUUUGAUAGAUAAUUCUCUUAAUACUUUUUUUAAAAAUUAAUUAAUGUUUCAUGUAAAACACUCUCAAGAAAAACACUUCAAAGUACAUUUUUAGAUUGUGUUUGAUAAUAUUUUUACUCAGAAUGUUUUUAAUGAAAACAUAUUCUCUAAAAGUAUUUUAAGAUAAUUAUCUAUCAAAUAUUUCUCCAAAAGAUACUAUAAGUGAUUUUUUAAUACUAUAAAUAAUUUUUCAUAUUUUUAAAAGUGUUUCCCAAAUUUAAUCAAAUACUUAAAGACAAAAAUGCUUCUUAAAAUCAUUGUCUAACUCUUAUUCAUGAAACAUAAACUUUUCUAUUUCUUAUAAAUUAUUAGCCAUUUUUAGUACAGUAAAAAUGGUGGUUGAUUCAAUCUGAAUUUGAGUCUCUUGAAUAUCUAUUGCAGGCAUUGAUGAUUCAUGUGGUGAGCUAUGCGGAUAAAAUGAAUAUCAUUCUAUCAGUUGAUGAAAGUACAGUCCCUGAUCCUCACCAACUGUUUGAUGAGCUUGAAGAGUCUUUCAACCUCAUCAAGAAUGCUGUGAUGGCUAGAGACUAAACUCCACAGAAUGUCACAUGGCAAGGGCCAGGGUUAAUGUAAUUAAUAUUUAUAAUGUUCUGAAAUAAUUUUCUUAGGGUUCCUGCAAUAAUGAUGUUGUAUUAGAUGACUAAUUAUUUAUAAUGUACUAAAUAAAAAAUGCCUCUCUACUAUAUCUUUAUCUUAAUCCAAGUUCAUAUUUUUUGGACUUUAUUUCAUUUUUAAUUACUGUAUUUUGAUGACUAAUUAUGGGUUCUUUCUAAUUUCAUCUUUUAAUUUUUUAUUCUUUUUUUUAUUUUUUUUUUAUUCCUCAUAUCUUUUGCAGUAUCCAUUUUUAAUUUUAGGGCUUGAAUUUCUACUUCAUUUCAUUAAUUUCUUCCAUAAUUUUUAAUUUUUAUUAUUAUUAAAUAAUUGUAAUACUAUUAAAUAUGAAGUUCUUGGCUGGCUUACAUAAGAACCCAUCUCCUGGUUUAUAUUGAUCCCUACCAUUUUUGACUUUGAAGAGGGUCCACUUUUUACAUCUAAUAACAAAGCGUGGGUCCACAAGAGUGGGACUACAGACAGCAAGGAGGCCAUUGUCAAUCAUUCUCCAAUCUUGAGAAAAUGAGAAACACAUGUUUAAGGUGGGCUGCCACUUCAAAAAACAACAUUAUCUAAUUAAUGAUCCAUGCAUGCAUGGAUGGGACCCAUUUAAAAACAACAAAGAAAAUAAAAAUAAAAACAAAAAGAAAAUGAGAAACCUUGUUGAUGACAUAAUUUUAAAAGGACGCGUAAAAGUCUCUUACAAUUUGAGUGCAAAGUAUAACCCAAGGGACUUAAAAUCCUUUUUAAUUCUCCUAUUAAUAAAUCUUCUUAUCUUUUUAAAUAAAAUUGAAUAAAACUUUGAUUGUUUAACAUCCACUAUAUUCUAAGAAAUUUUAAAAAACUUAAAAGCUAAAAAUAUAAAAAUAAAGUAUUCACUUUCACUUUGCUCAUGAAAAAUAUAAAUAUCAAGAGAAAUACAAUAGGAUCAAUAUUUAUAAAAAAAAUUAAGUUUUUUUUGUUUUCAUUGUAUUGAAUUUUUAAGUAUUUUAAUUUUUAAAAUUUCUUAUUUUAUUAUUAUUCAAUAUUCCUAAGAAUGAUUGUUUUUAAAGAAAAAAAAAUUCUAAAAUAAAAUUUUUUUAAAAAGAAAACUAAAAGGGACACAAUUCUUUACAAUUAAGCAUCUACGUAUUUAUUUAUUUAUUAAAUUUACAAACAUAACAAGUAAAAUAGUCAUUUCGGAAAUAAUUAUAUAACUUAUGAAAAAGUGCAUAUAUUUUGAAAUAUUUUUAAAUGAAUAAAAAUGAAAUUGAUUUAUAAAAAUUAAAUUUUUUUUAUAUCUUUUUAAAUUAGCGAGUCCUAACCCACUUUUUCCUUUUUGAAAUGCCCAAUUACAAGGAAUGUCGGAUUGGUUUUAUCCUAACUUCUUAUCCUUCAAUAUAUAUGUUUAGUACUAUGUGAAAGCAAGAGAAAAUUAAGAUUGAUUUGCACAACUAUUUUUAUGUGAAAUUACUUUUUAAAUAUGUAAAAUUUAUGUUGAUGCCAUAAUUUAUGUGGGGAUUUUUUGUUUUAUUAUGAGCUUUUGAUUUAUUAUAGUGAUGCAUGGUGUUCAAUCGUCAAAUGAUUUAUUAGGAAAAGAGGGUUUUAGUCAUGCAAAGAAAAAUGAACAUGACUAUAUAUAAAACCCGACGAUGUAUAUAAUUAAUCCUAGGAAGAAGAGAGAUCGUGACUAAAAGUGCUUUCUUGUUAUGAUUUUGCCUAAGUGUGAGUAGACCGAUUGGUGUAUAGAAAAUAACCUUCGUAGUCAGACAAGGAGCCAAAGCCACCAUGCCCAUAAAUAUACUUUAUUUUUUUCCAAGGAGUUCAAUUACUUUAUAAUCAUUUAUUCUUAUGAUGAAAUAAAUAGAAAUCCAUUUGUCUAGCAAACGAGUUUUUAAUGUGAUUCAAUUAAUUAUAUUUAUUUUUAAUAUAUAAGAUCAUAUAAAAAAAUUUACAAAAGAAAAAAAUCAAAUCACACUCCCGAAACCUUAUAACAAUAUCUAUAUUCUUAAUUUAAACCUAUGUCUUAUGUGCUUUCCUCAUAUUUCGACAAAAAAUUUCAUAUAUCAAUCUUCAUCAUAUAUCAAAAAUAUUAUUAUGCUAGUAAUUUUCAUAUUGCAAAUAGAUAUUAUAUCUAAAAUUACCCACUCCUUUAAGAUGCAUUUUUCCAUAAUUCAUUUUCAAAAUUAUACUCUACAUUCUUUUACUUUUUCAUAUGAAAAUUAAUAUAUAUAUAUAUAUAUAUUUGUUUUUCUUUAAUUUCAUAUUUUCUUGGCUACCAAUCACCAUAUCAAGAAUUUUAUAUGAAAAAAAAAUAAAAAAUAAAAAAUAGCAAUAAUUUACUUUUUUGUCUGUAUUUCUAUCCUUUGAAUUGAAAGUGGAGCUAAAAAGAAAGAAAAUGUCCCAAAUAACUAAAGUCCUUAAAAUUAACCUCAAUUUGAUCUUUAAAUAAAUAAAUAAAUAAAAUCCUAAUGAAACCUAAUAUGGUGGAAGAAAACCAUAAACCUUGUUCCUGCAAGAUCCAAACUCAUCCAUAAUCCACAUAUUUCAGCAUUCCUAAUGCCCACACUCUUUAAAUCACCUCACUUUUUAUAUAAGAUGCUUGCUUAUGAAAGAAAAAACUCUAAAAUAAUAAUAAUAAUAAUAAAUAAUAAAGAACAUGUUAAAAGGAAGACAAACAUUUAGGUAGAAGAGUCAUGUUAAUUGGUGUUGUUGAUAUAACAAGUGAAAUGGUAUUUUGAGGAACAAUUAAAUGACUCACCGAAAAAGUGCCUCUAUGAUAUAAAGUAUAAUAAUUUUAAAAAUGUUUUUAAAGUAUAAUAUUUUAAAAAGAAUUUUUAAGAUAUGCUAUAGUUGUUUAUAUUAUAAUUUAUAUCUCAAAUUACUCAUAUUCAUGAAUGGUUUCUAUAUAUUUAUUUAAAAAGCAGUAUAACUUUAUUUCUUCUAACAAGGUGUAUUGCUAAUAUUGUAAUUAUAUACUUGAACAUAUUAUUAUCUAAUAAAAUUGUUGGCAAAUUAGAGGGUUGGUCGCGUCCAUCAACUCCCCUUGUAUUCGCCGUGUGUGCUUGGGUGAAUGCACCAUAAAGUUAGGAUAUGCGCAUUUCGUAUAAGCAAUUGCUUUUAGGAUAAUUAGUAGCGUCUGAGGUUCUACAAGUGGUAUUAGAGUCGAGGUCACGGGUUCAAACUCUAGGCGUGUUGUUGGGGGAAGAUGUGCACUAUAAGGUUAGAGUAUGUAUCUUUCCUACAAGCAAUUAUUUUAAGGUAUGUGCAUUUCCUACAAGCAAUUCCUUUUAGGAGAAUUGGUAAUGCCUGAGAGGAGAUGUGCACUAUAAAGUUAGAGUAUGUGCCUUACAAAGUAUGUGCAUUUCCUACAAGCAAUUCCUUUUAGGGGAAUUGGUAGCUUUCGAGGAUUUAACAUGUAUCUAAUUUUCAUGCCUAUCUAACCAAGAAUUUGAAAUGAAAAUGAAAUUCACUUUACAACUUUGAAUCAAAUCAUCCUCAAAUAAGAAAAGUUCCAUCACUAAUCUUUUGUGGCAAAACCCUCAAAUCUUUUCUUUUUUAAAAAAAAAUUUAUAUGGCCUCCAUCAUUAAUCCUAAAUUCAAUUUGAAAUUUGAUUCUAGAAAAAGUAAUAUGACUUCUCGUCCUAAACCCAGGUUGAUCCUAUAAAUAGGAGCACAACCAACGAUGGUGGAGGCACGCCAUCUUUCGAUUUCUAUUCUUCAGUUGUUUUUCAUUCUGAAAGCAGCUAGCACCAUGGAAACCCAAUCAGGUUUGAAGCACGCACUUAAGCCUAUUAGAAUUGUGCCUAAAGAAGGUGAUGAUCAGGAAGAUCAUCAGCCAUUGAGUCCAAUGACUCGUUUGUUUCAUGAACCUGACUGCAAUCUCUACGUUAUCGCCAUGAUAGGCUCGAAAACUCGCAUCGACCCUGACGUGGUUAAAGCCAACCUGGUGCAUAGUCUCCUUAAACACCCUCGUUUCUCUAGUCUGCAGGUAGAAAUCUUGCAUGCAAGAAGGAAUGAACUAGCCAUUUAGUAAUUUAAAGCUACACUGAACAUUUUUGAACUAAAAUGCAGCGGUGUUAUUCCAAAAUCCAUUGUGAAUUUUUUCAGUAUUAUUAAUCUAUUUCCAUUGUUUGCUAACCAUUAAAUCAUCUUCCAAAAUCAGGUUAUGGAGGAGGAAAAGGGAGGAGAGAUGAAAUGGGUUCCAACAAAAGUUGAUUUGGAAAAGCAUGUUAUAGUUCCAGACAUGUGUUCCGACAUGGAAACAUCAUCAGACAAGUACGUGGAAGACUACAUUUGCAACCUCACUAAAACAACCCUAGACCUUUCCAAGCCAUUAUGGGACCUUCAUCUCCUCAACGUCAAAACCUCCGACGCCGAGGCCGUCGCCGUUUUCAGGAUUCACCACUCCCUCGGCGAUGGCACGUCUCUCAUGUCUCUUUUACUUGCAUGCACACGCAAAGCCUCGGAUCCCACGGCUCUGCCUUCGGUUCCCAUGAUGAAGAAACCAAAAUUAUCGGUUGGGUCUGGAAAGUGGUGGAAGGCUUUCAGACUGGUUUGGAAUACUAUCAUCGAUGUUUUGAUGGUGAUCGCCACAGUGUUGUUCUUGAAGGACAGAGACACGC